UUUAUUUUUUUGUUUCAAAGUUCUUUUUUAAUAAUAAUCCAUAUAAAGGCUUGUAUGUCCCCUCCACUUUCAUAUGCUUCCACUCCUCAUUUUCCUUUUUCGACUUUUUUGGAUAGAGGAUCUAUCGAAAUAAUUUAUCGAUCUUCAUAAGAUAAUAAUAAGAUUGUGGAUAUUUAUCAUUUUUAGAUCGAUCGACUUCACUUAUGAAAUUAUUGUAAAUAUAGUAUUCUUAUUGUUUGGAUAUUAGAAUAUUGAUCAAUUUAUAGUUACAACAAUCUAAUUAUAAGUCAAGUGGGAUAUGUAUAAAGUAAUCAAAAAAGAAUUCUAUUUUUUUUUACGUAAUUUUCCAUUUUGAUAUAUAAUCAGAGACCUCACUCGUGAAGUAAAUAACAAUCAUGUGCAAAUAAUACUAUGAUAAUAAUAAAAUUAAAUAGAGAUAUUGUCCAUUCGAAUAUCAAGGAUCCAAGGAAAAUUCACCUUAUUCAUGUUUCUUAUAUGCUAAAGCACCACAACUAAAAAGAUUGAUUCAUUUAAUAUUUGAAAUGUCUAUUUCUACAUUACUCUUAAUGAUAUACUUUUAUUAAAAAGAUCGACGUAUAUUUAUUAUGGACUUAACUAAAAUAUAUAGUUAACUUAGCAUUAAAGUUCUUAUUCUAGGCCAUAAGAGCAUAAAAUCACAAUAUUUUUUUAAAAUUGCAAUAUUGUUAUUUCUCUUAGAAAAAUAUAAAUAAUAUUUAACUUAACAAGAAAAUAGAACCCCCUCCCCACCCCCACCCCCANNNNNNNNNNNNNNNNNNNNNNNNNNNNNNNNNNNNNNNNNNNNNNNNNNNNNNNNNNNNNNNNNNNNNNNNNNNNNNNNNNNNNNNNNNNNNNNNNNNNNNNNNNNNNNNNNNNNNNNNNNNNNNNNNNNNNNNNNNNNNNNNNNNNNNNNNNNNNNNNNNNNNNNNNNNNNNNNNNNNNNNNNNNNNNNNNNNNNNNNNNNNNNNNNNNNNNNNNNNNNNNNNNNNNNNNNNNNNNNNNNNNNNNNNNNNNNNNNNNNNNNNNNNNNNNNNNNNNNNNNNNNNNNNNNNNNNNNNNNNNNNNNNNNNNNNNNNNNNNNNNNNNNNNNNNNNNNNNNNNNNNNNNNNNNNNNNNNNNNNNNNNNNNNNNNNNNNNNNNNNNNNNNNNNNNNNNNNNNNNNNNNNNNNNNNNNNNNNNNNNNNNNNNNNNNNNNNNNNNNNNNNNNNNNNNNNNNNNNNNNNNNNNNNNNNNNNNNNNNNNNNNNNNNNNNNNNNNNNNNNNNNNNNNNNNNNNNNNNNNNNNNNNNNNNNNNNNNNNNNNNNNNNNNNNNNNNNNNNNNNNNNNNNNNNNNNNNNNNNNNNNNNNNNNNNNNNNNNNNNNNNNNNNNNNNNNNNNNNNNNNNNNNNNNNNNNNNNNNNNNNNNNNNNNNNNNNNNNNNNNNNNNNNNNNNNNNNNNNNNNNACGCCCACCCACCCACAACACCAAUAACACCACAAAAAAUAUCUCUAAGCAAAUGUAAUUAAUUAAAGCUUAAGUCAAACAAGAAUUGUCUUUUAUGUAGAUACAAUUAAAUUUGAUUACGUAGACUACACCUAAUUCCAAAAUUAUUGUUUAUUAGUAUUUUUUAUUGCAAUACAGAUAGAUUCAAAAUUUAAAAUUUAUAAGUUUUUAUAAUAACUUUAAAUUAAAUAAAUAUACGACAAUAAUUAAAUUUCAUCAUCAAAUAAUUAUUAUCAAUCACUUUAAUAUACGAUAAUAAUUGAAUUUCGAUAAACCCGCACAUGAUAAUCUGGAUCUGCCAUUGCACAACAAUAGCAACUUUUGUAUAUUAAUUAAAUUGAAAAAAAGAAAAGAAUAUAAUAGAAGUGGUAAGCUGAGUAGAUGGAUAAAGUUUUUGUUAGUUCAACAUAGUUCAUAAAAGUUUUUGUCAAAGGUUGGAUAAGAUAAUAUAAAAAUAAUAAUUUAUAUAUACUGACAAAUAAUAUAUAUUAAAAAAUAUAUAUAUUAUCAGGUUAUAUUUAAUUUCAAGAUUAAAAAACUUUAAUUUAAGUGAAAGGUUUUUUACACGUAUCUUUUGAAUAUUUUUAAUUAAUAUAUAAGUUAAAGUCAAAGAAAAUACUAACAAAAAUUGUGAUAGAAUGAAUAAGAUACUCUUAUAUUAUAAAUUGAAUAUCGGAUGAAAAAAAUACAUCUCACACAACACAAAUUUAAAUUAAUUAAGAUUUCAAUAUUAGUCUAGCUUAAGAUAACUAUUUUUAAGAAAUUGAUCUAUUAAUUUCCUUUCCAUAUUGAAGCAUUUUAGUUCCAUAAUGGUAAUAUUUUUUUGGGAAAAGGGACAAAUAUAUCCUCGAACUAUCGUAAGUGGUAUGCAGAUACCCUUCAUCAUACUUUUGGGACAUUGGUGCCCCUGUCGUCCAAAAACUAGAGUAUAUAUAUACCUUGUAUACUAACGGACAUACAUGUGUCAUGAUCUUAUUCACUGAUCCGACAUUUAUUAAAUAUCGGAUCGACGGAUAAGAUUGCGCUUUGUGUCCCUAUUUAGUCUUCCAUUAGAGUGAAGGGCAUGUAUGCUCUAGUUUUUGGACAGCAAAGGCACCAAUGUCCCAAAAGUAUGACGGAGGAUAUCUGCAUACCAUUUACAUCAAUUCAGAGGUAUAUUUGUCAUUUUUCCCAUUUUUUUUCUAAAUGCAUUUUGUCUUCUUAUAUUUUUUUUUCUCCUUUUUUUAUGUAAAGAUGAAGAGGAAUUGGCUUUUCAUUUAUUUCACUAUCUUUGCUUUAUAUGCAUACACAUUAAUUUCAAAAAGGUGUGUUUACGUAAGCCAUUUUCGACUUUUAUGGGAUAGAUGAAGCAUUAACUUGAAGUCGUUGUAGAAAAAUUCAUAAUUUUUAAAUGUUGAAUCCAUUUAAGGUCAACGCCACACAUGAAUUAUUUAAUGGGUAAAAUAUGGGGCAUGUGAAUCCGUAGUCUCUCAGUAAAACAUGAUAUUUUAUGUAUAUAUCUUCUAAAAUUGAUACUAUAAUAUUAUCUCUUGACGUUCAUGCUAUAAGAAGGUUAAAUGGUGUACUAGAUUGAACGUCAAGUUACUUACGUAGAGACCUAGAAAUCAAUUUCUACUUAAUACUAAAAAUCCUAUAUUUAUCUCUAAUCAACGCGCGUAUACGAAUCGCCGCAUACACUACUGACAUAAGCAGCACUCCACAAUCAUCCAAAGCUUAUACUAAAGCAAGAAACUUAAAAACUUGAUAGUAAUGUCAAAAUAUUCCAGAAUUCUUGGAAUGGAUCCAUAUAGAAUUCAGUAAAAAAUGAUGUCAAAAUGCACUUUUUAGGUCCUGACAUGUGUUCCAAUUUCUAAUGAUCUCAUGCCUCUCAAGGUUCAGACACAUUACAACAAAUAAUAUAUUCAAUUCAAUAUAAUGUCACGCGUGAAAUAUGGAGUGAAAUAUAUGCAAACUACGAUAUAUCUUUCUGGUUGUGGGGUAGAGAGAUUGUUACCAAUAUAGACUCUCGGCUCAUAGUUUAGACACAUUACGACAACUACAACAUAUCCAGUGUGUGCAAUAAGCACAUAACACCACGACUCGAAUCUGAAAAAGGGUGAAAAUCAUUUACACCCCCAACUUUGCUCUAAAUAUCGUACUCCGUUUCCAACUUUGAACAAUAGACANNNNNNNNNNNNNNNNNNNNNNNNNNNNNNNNNNNNNNNNNNNNNNNNNNNNNNNNNNNNNNNNNNNNNNNNNNNNNNNNNNNNNNNNNNNNNNNNNNNNNNNNNNNNNNNNNNNNNNNNNNNNNNNNNNNNNNNNNNNNNNNNNNNNNNNNNNNNNNNNNNNNNNNNNNNNNNNNNNNNNNNNNNNNNNNNNNNNNNNNNNNNNNNNNNNNNNNNNNNNNNNNNNNNNNNNNNNNNNNNNNNNNNNNNNNNNNNNNNNNNNNNNNNNNNNNNNNNNNNNNNNNNNNNNNNNNNNNNNNNNNNNNNNNNNNNNNNNNNNNNNNNNNNNNNNNNNNNNNNNNNNNNNNNNNNNNNNNNNNNNNNNNNNNNNNNNNNNNNNNNNNNNNNNNNNNNNNNNNNNNNNNNNNNNNNNNNNNNNNNNNNNNNNNNNNNNNNNNNNNNNNNNNNNNNNNNNNNNNNNNNNNNNNNNNNNNNNNNNNNNNNNNNNNNNNNNNNNNNNNNNNNNNNNNNNNNNNNNNNNNNNNNNNNNNNNNNNNNNNNNNNNNNNNNNNNNNNNNNNNNNNNNNNNNNNNNNNNNNNNNNNNNNNNNNNNNNNNNNNNNNNNNNNNNNNNNNNNNNNNNNNNNNNNNNNNNNNNNNNNNNNNNNNNNNNNNNNNNNNNNNNNNNNNNNNNNNNNNNNNNNNNNNNNNNNNNNNNNNNNNNNNNNNNNNNNNNNNNNNNNNNNNNNNNNNNNNNNNNNNNNNNNNNNNNNNNNNNNNNNNNNNNNNNNNNNNNNNNNNNNNNNNNNNNNNNNNNNNNNNNNNNNNNNNNNNNNNNNNNNNNNNNNNNNNNNNNNNNNNNNNNNNNNNNNNNNNNNNNNNNNNNNNNNNNNNNNNNNNNNNNNNNNNNNNNNNNNNNNNNNNNNNNNNNNNNNNNNNNNNNNNNNNNNNNNNNNNNNNNNNNNNNNNNNNNNNNNNNNNNNNNNNNNNNNNNNNNNNNNNNNNNNNNNNNNNNNNNNNNNNNNNNNNNNNNNNNNNNNNNNNNNNNNNNNNNNNNNNNNNNNNNNNNNNNNNNNNNNNNNNNNNNNNNNNNNNNNNNNNNNNNNNNNNNNNNNNNNNNNNNNNNNNNNNNNNNNNNNNNNNNNNNNNNNNNNNNNNNNNNNNNNNNNNNNNNNNNNNNNNNNNNNNNNNNNNNNNNNNNNNNNNNNNNNNNNNNNNNNNNNNNNNNNNNNNNNNNNNNNNNNNNNNNNNNNNNNNNNNNNNNNNNNNNNNNNNNNNNNNNNNNNNNNNNNNNNNNNNNNNNNNNNNNNNNNNNNNNNNNNNNNNNNNNNNNNNNNNNNNNNNNNNNNNNNNNNNNNNNNNNNNNNNNNNNNNNNNNNNNNNNNNNNNNNNNNNNNNNNNNNNNNNNNNNNNNNNNNNNNNNNNNNNNNNNNNNNNNNNNNNNNNNNNNNNNNNNNNNNNNNNNNNNNNNNNNNNNNNNNNNNNNNNNNNNNNNNNNNNNNNNNNNNNNNNNNNNNNNNNNNNNNNNNNNNNNNNNNNNNNNNNNNNNNNNNNNNNNNNNNNNNNNNNNNNNNNNNNNNNNNNNNNNNNCCACCCGGAUUGGAGCAUGUAAAACAAUGAAUGUGUUUAUUCCUUUCAUACAUUGGAAUUGAAGAAAACUCAUUUGUGUGAAACAAAAAGAGUUGUCUCUUUUAUAACAACUUAAACAAAAAUGCUUAAAAAGCACUUAGGAGAAUACAAAUACAAGUCUAAAAAACAUGAAGAAUGAUCACAACAAAAUGGUUAACACAACACUUUGAUAAAAUGUUGAAGAGCAGGUAAAUUUUUGCUUGUUUGUUGCUAUUGAAAGCGUUUUCACUUGGUGUAGAGGACGUCUUCCCAUGGGUGACGGUAUAGAGGCUGUUUCAAUCUCUUCUGAUCGAACGUGUGUCUGAAAUUCAAACAAAAGGUUAUGGUUUCAAUUGUUUGACAUGACUAGAUUUCUGUUUAAUGUAGAUGAAUGGUUUAAUGGAAGUGUCAGCAUUUGAACUUACCCGAUAAGACCAAUGGAACGUGCCAGCACGAACAGUCCAUUGAGGUAACCGAUAUCUACUAUUUCAUCAAUUUCUGGCUUGGUGAACAUUCCACUUCCAGCAAGGAGAUCCAAGAAGAGGGAACCAAUGGCUCCGUCAACGUUGAGGACUAGGUUGUUUGCCUUUGAGAGUGUGUAGGUUUCAACUUGAACCGCGUAUUCCAUGUACUUAACUGAAGGGAAAUUUUCCCUCGCGUAGAGCUGAAGUAGUUCAACUCUCUUAUCUCUGUUGUCACCUCUCUUGAUCCUGUCACACGAGUAUUAGAUGCAACGCAUGAGAUGCACUCAAAGAGUCACACGAGUUUCCGAGCAUGUAAUGCUACAAUUUCGUUUAGCUUCUCCAACUACCAUUUCGGGGAACAAGUAUACGAUAUUAAAUGUUACAUCUAUAAUGAAGUACAAGAAACGCUACCUGUGUCCGAUUCCUGGCACUCUAAUGCCCUUCUUCUUCAUACUUUCAACAAAUUCAUAUGGUGUAAGACCCUACAAAAGAAGCAUUGCAAACGUUUAUUCAUCCAAACACUCAAAGGGAGUAGCGGGAACUGUUUCUACUCGACUAGUAGCUUAGAUUGUAAGGACUCACCCUGUCAUAAGCAUCCUUAAAGUAUCGGGCAGCAUCGUCAACAGCACCACCAAAUCGUGGACCAAUAGUCAACAACCCUGUCACCCAACCAAAUUAUUCCAAUUCCAAUUGAAUGAUAACCCGAUAACUACCUUAAAAAUAAAGUAUGACAUACCAGAUACAAGACAUGACACUAAGUCUUUUCCAGCCCUGGCAGUUACGAUGGUGUUGUGAGCACCAGAGACGCAGGGACCAUGGUCAGCACACAACAGAGUGCAAAUCUGCCAAGUCGAACCAACCACAAGAAAACGGAUGUUUAGAAACAGAACGGCGAGGGGGAGACCAUGUAGUCCAAUAUAUGCAAAUUUUAUGAUUUACCUCAAUAAAACGUGUACAAUAACGGGGGAGACUGCGUUUGAACCACAACAGAGAAAUGACAUCACCGACACCUAAUCCUUGCUCCACAAUAGAUGACAUGGGUACACCAGCAUAGCAUGGCUCUUCACCUAUAAAUAAGAAAUGGAAGAAUCAGCAUUGGUUUAGACUCUUAUUCAGCCACCGAAAGAAGCAAAACGACCCAAUGAUAAUUAGUCAAUGUCAGUCCAUACCUCUAUCAUCAGAUAUGGUGGAAAUAAUAUGUGUUGGGGCCCGAACUUUCCCGCUCUUAAUUGCAGUGUUGAGAUCCUCAGGAAUUUGUGGAGGCGUUAUUUCCUUUACAGGAGUUGUUUUGCCUUCCGAAACCUAUCAAAAUGAUCAGGUAAACCCAUUAAAACUAAGGCCAAGUGGAAGAAUUAUUAUUAUUGAGUGUGCUCAAUAUCAAGAGACUUACCAGCUUUUCAAAUGCUUCUUUGAUUGCUCCUUCAAAAGCUUCAUACGAAGUGGGAACCGUAGCCCCAGCAUCACUGAGAGCUUGAUUCUUAGCUUGUGCAGACUCCAUUUCACCACCACUCUUUGCACCCUAUUAAGAGAGUCUCGAGCAAAGUUAGAUUUAGGCGGAAAACUGUUUCACCAAAUCAGAGCUCAAUACAUCUUUUUCUUUUCAAGAAUUUAAUCAGCUCUUAAUACUUAAGAGAGACAUUAAUCUGCAUUUCACGAGAAAUGAGGGAAUGAAAGGAGAUAGCUCACCGCAUGUCCAAACUGUACUUCCGACUUAAAGAGUGUAGCACAAGUUCCGCUGACCCAGGCAACAACAGGCUUGUUGAUUUUCCCUUGUUUCAGGGCUUCAACUAAGGAAUACUCAUCUCGUCCACCAAGUUCCCCAAGUACAACAAUCAUUUUGACCUAAAGUUUACCAAAGCAUAAGAAAAAAAAAAGAUCAAAUUGUGCAAAAUGGCAAAAUAUAUAGUUGAUCAUGCCCCAUUAAGCUUUCAAGUCCUAUAAGAAUAGUGGAAUAAAAUGAGACAAUCGUAUUGUCUAGAAACGAGAAGUUUUGGCAACGGUUUCUCUUUUAUUCUAUCUUUUUGUUUCUCUUUGUUGUUUGUAAUUCCUACUUGUAUUCUUCUUAGAUAAACUAUUGCAGCUUGGUAGGAAAAACCUUGAGUUGUUCAUGUAUCUUUGUUUGGACAUCUACAUAUCUCACACAAUAACGGAAAAUUCUCCGUUCACAAGACUAGCAUGUCUUAAAAAGCUUCGGAUUGUUACAAGUAUGCUUAACUGUGAUAAAGCUAUAAAACUAGCACUUCACCAUGCACACACACAGAUGUCACUUGAAGAAUUAUUAGCAACAUGGCUACAGAAGAACUAAGUGCCAAGCAUUUUACAAAAAUCUCUUGCAUGGAUUUCACUUCAAAUCAAUUACCUGUGGAAUAUUGUUGAAGCGCAAAACAUGAUCAGAAAGGGUAGAGCCAGGAAAGACAUCCCCACCAAUUGCAAUUCCUGCGCAGACCAAAAAAUCACUCAAUAUUAUUUUUUAAAAUAUGAAUAAAUAUAAAAAUGUUCUAAAAGCAUAGAUUCAGGAUUUAGAAUGUCCAACCUUCAUAAACUCCAUCAGUCACACGGGCAAUUGUGUUGUACAGUUCAUUAGACAUACCACCCUAUAUAUUAAGAUAAAACUCAGUACUCAUGAAGCCACAAAACGUUGUCGUGCUGUUUUGAAACUCCAGCAAGAGUAGAUGAGUUAAGGGAAAAAGAUGAAAGACUUGCUAUGAUUACUCACAGAUUUGGAGACAAAUCCCACAGAUCCAGGCCUGUAAAGCUUGCACUGAAUAAUGUUAUCAAUUGUUCCAGCAGUAUCACCAAUCUUAAAAGCUCCGGCUUGAAUCCCUCCGACAGUAGCUGGACCGAUAACCACCUGAAAAACAAAGUGCAUAUAAUAAGUCAUAAAGUUUGAUAACUUCUAAAUAUGAAACUCAAGUGACAUUAGGUAAUGACUGAAAUAACACUUUAUGAACUCUUUCUCCGCCUGACCGAGUAUCUUACAUCUUCAAGAACACACACGAAAAAAGAAAAAGAAAGAUGCUAAUACUGAAGGAAACAACAGGAAUGAUGUAACACUGUUAUACCUUAUUAUUUGCCUUUGCAAAACCAAUAAGCUGCUUGGUGUCCGACUCAGGAACUCCUUCAGCUAUUAUAGCCACAACUCUGAUGGUUGGCUGUUUCAGAGCGGACAUGGAGGAAGCAGCAGCACUGCAAUUAAGGAAAAGAUCAGAUAUAAGAGCAAAUCGUUUUUAGUUUAAGAUUUUUUUUCCAGGAAAACAAAGAAGAAAAGAACAAACUAGGAGGAUGUAUGAUAGUACCAACCUUCUGAAAGAAGCAAAGUUGAUGAAAACAUCAGCUGUUGGAUGAGCAGCACAGGCAGCUUCAACACUGUAGGUUGAGUAACAAUUGCGAAUAAGUAUCAAAAUUAAAGACUCCACAACCAAGGUCCGUAAAGAAGGCAAAGUUAAUUCAUACUCCUUACCUUUCAAUUUAUUUAUCUUACUUUCCUUUUUAGUCCAUUUCAAAAAGUAUGUCAUGUUCUUUUAUUGAAAACUCUUUAACUUCUACUUUCCACAUUCAUGUUUAACACUAUAAGAUUAAAGGACAUUUUGGUACAUUCUACAUGUCUUUAGUUUAAGACCACAAGAAUCAAUAUUCUUUUUUUACUUUCUUAAACUCCGUACCAAGUCAAAACUAGACAAACAAAUUGAAACGGAGGGAGUAUACACUAUAAGUAUGUUUUCUUUGGUGGUUGGUAAAUAGCCUAGAAUUAUGGCUAUCCAUUUAUCUUAAGUGGUUCAAAUUGAAAAAACUAAGGCACAAGUCCAUCAAUAUGUGUGCUUAUAUUGAACACCUUUCAAACGAUAUAAAGUGGAACCAAACGUUAGAAAGUCACAUGAUCUCAUAGAGAUAUUUUGAAACCACGAUUGCAAGAGAUUUUGAGCAAAAUAUUUUAGACCUAUCGAAACUAAUGGGAGAGGACCACACUGAAAAUGACUACCAAAUCAGGUCCUUUAGGAUAUCAGAAUGAAAAAUAAAAAGCACACGUGUCAUGGAAAUACAACCAAUAGAAGAAAACAAAUAUAAUUGAAACAAGCAAGUAAAGGAUGAACUCAACGCACGUAGAAUGUACUGGGAUUGCAAUUUCCUCCUGACCAAAGAAGAGUUUCUGGAAUCCCUCGGAACCAGGAUUGAUAAUUCCAGCAACAGAAGGUGUUUCUCUCCCUGUAAGUUCAAAACAAAAUUGUAAAAUGUGAAUGAAAUACCUUAAGACAACAAAUAUUGUAAGCACAUUUAUUUUCUAGAAAAAUGAAUGAGUGGAAAUGUAAUACACACCACAAAGGAAAUCAAAGUCGAGCAUCCGUUGGAUAGGAAGCUGCUUGUAGUUGUAGAACAAGGCUUGUGUAGUUUUGGAGAAAAGUUGUCCAGUCGCCAUUCUGCUGAUUUAAUCGAAACCUGCGGAAAAGUUACAAUAUCAGGACAACCAUCAAAGCUUAAUUCCAUCAAAAUGAAGUUAUUCAUAAAAGAGGAAUGCCCCAUGACUUUUAGCCAAACCGCCAAAACAAUAUCUCAACAGGCGGAUAUGGAUCUGAAAGUGACAUAUAUGUGCCAAAAAUAGCUAAAAUUUCGACAAAAACGAAGUUCAUGAACCUAUAAUUGUGAAUGUGAAAGGAAUUCAAUGAUGACUGAUGAGAUACAUAAACAUUGAAUACAUCAAAUACAAAUCACGGAUCCACCUCUUUUCGGGGCAUCUUUCCUUAUCAAGGAACAGACCAAGUUAUCCACCUAAAACCACCAUUUCUAAACGCAUACAAACACCACGAGAAAAAUAUGUUACUAUAUAACAAGAUGAUCCUUUAGAGGUUUCUCUAAAUUGACCUUUAACAAAUGAAAACAAACCAGAACAAGGCUACAUCACCCCCUGAGAUCAAUUAAACCAGAGAUUAACCUACAAACCGGCUUGUGAUAGAGAAAAUCAGAACUAAGUAUAACUGAUACGAAAGUGAACUCAAUGUGCUUAAGAUGAAUCAUUGAUUGAAUGAGGAAAAGCUAACAAGCAAUGAGAAAGGUGAGUGCAAAUGAUGAUUCAAAAUCACAUGUUAUACAAAAAAACUCGUAAAAAGAUCAGAUCUUUAACACGUAACCAAAUCAAAGAACACCUUCAUUCUCCCAAAAAGACUGCAACUUUGAAUUGACCAUUAAAGCAGAUCUUUCUUAGAUCAAAUGUUUAUACAACAAAACAAAGCAUGUCACCUCAGAAACAUCAAAAACAGACCAAACAAAAGAUAAAUUUGGCAACUCCAGCAGUUUUACACUAACAGACAGAAAUCCAAAUUGCCAAUCCAACAGUAAAAUCACAAAAUUGAACCAAAAACCUUUUGGAUCAACAGAAAGGUUCCCAAAAUUGAGAAUUCGACAGUAAAGCGACAAAAUUCCAGAUCCCAUACUCAAAAAGGAACAACAAGGAUUCAAAAAAGACAAACUUUUUAGGAAACAAAAUACUAGUAUUCAAAAAAAUGUACCUCCUAACAAGAACCCCAGAUCCCAUACUCAACAAAACACAGCAAAGAUUCAAAAAAGAGAAAUUUUUUUAGCAAACAAAAUACUAGUAUUCAAAAAAUGUACCUCCUAACAGGAACCCCAGAUCCCAUACUCAACAAAACACAUAAAAGAUGCAAAAAAGAGAAACUUUUUAGCAAAAAAAAUUACUAGUAUUCAAAAAAUGUACCUCCAAACAGGAACCCCAGAUCCCAAACUCAAUAAAACACAGCAAAGAUUCAAAAAAAAGAGAAACUUUUUAAGAAACAAAAUACUAGUAAUUCACAAAAUGCAUCAUCUAACAACAACCCAAAAUCAAGAAUUCAACCAUAAAACAACACAACCCCAUAUCCCAAUUCCAAUUAAAAGCCAUCAAACCCAAAUCAAACAAUAAAAAGACAACCCCAGAUCACAAAACUCAAAAAAUAACAUCAAGAAUCUAAUAAAAAUUGGAACUUUUCAAGGAAACAAAAUGCUAGAAAUGUACCAAGUAUGUAUUUGUUCUUGAUUGAUGAAAAAAAUGAUCUUUUGUCCCCUGUAAGUAGAGUUGAGGUGAGUGAAAUAGUUAGGUGGUUGGUGAGUGGUGGUAGAAUGUUAGAUGGGUGAGUGUGUAUAUAUAUAUAUUUAUAUAUAUGAAUUGUACAGAGAGAGAAACAAGAGGGAGAGAGCAGCCAGCCUUGAAACUUGAAAGACACAGAAAUGAUUCACGUGCGUCAAGUUUGUUAGACGUCCGUUUGAUUUUCGGAUUAAAUUAUUUUUAGACAAUUAUAUUUCUAGAACUAAUUUAUCCCACCUCUCACGGGAAAUAAAAUAAUCUCAAAUUUGAUGGAAUAAUCGGGAUUAAGGUUGAGAAAUUUAUCUUAGGAUAAAUUUAUAUCAUCUUAAUCAUGAGAUAUCUCGGGUGUCAAACGACCUCUAAGGUUCGCGCUUAAUUCUUUUCUAUGAUUACUUAAUGAGUUUGAACAGAUCUGAGUGAUUAACGAGUUAUAACAAAGUGUUAAUAAUAUUAUUAAUAAUAUGUAAAGAUGACAUUAUAUUCGGUGUGGAGCCGAUGCAUUGAUUACGAGUUCCAAUGAACAUAAUAACUUUGAUUCAAAUUCGGAAUUUGUUGUGAGAAAUUCAUUGAAUAUGUACAAAUUAUUAGUUUUGUUUUCAAUAACUCGAAAAAAUUAAAACUAUGAACACGUAAACUUUAAAUUCUUACUUAGCAUUUGAUUCCACUACUUCAUUCACUUUUAUUGUUAAUCAUUUAUCAAUUAUUACAGACACCACAAUAGUCGGUCACUACAAUCUAUCAACGUCCUUAACUAUCAUUUGCAAUCAUCAUCAUCAACUAUCAUAACCAGAAUAACGAUCAAUUACUAUCAACGAUCUCUAUUAUCAUUCAUCACUAUAAAUUAACAAUCGCCAUGAAAGUUAAACUGUUUAAUUUGAUGUAAGCAUCAGAUAUGAAUAGAUAAACCUUUUUCACGAAUUGUUCUUUUAUACUAUCAAAAUUAGAAGACAUAGAAAAGAGCAUCGAGAAGUGUGAUAGAUAGAUGAGAUCCCUUUAUCUUAUUAGAGGUUUAGAGUUCAAAUGCUAAACGUUUUGUCAUAUUAAUUUCAUGUGGUAUUAGUGCGAAUAUAAAUUAAUCAAUUUUAAAUAUUUUAUCAUAUUAACACGAUAUUGAAUAAUUAUGUUUGUUAUACAUCCUAACAUAACUUGAAAUUUUCAAGCCCAUAAAUAUUUACUUCUUAUAGAUUGAUGAACAUCUAUAAGGCAAAAAAAAAUUGAAUUGUCUGAAGAAAAUAUUAUAAAUUCUGCCAUUGAAAUAAAAUCGAAUUUUAAUCCACUAUAAAAUAUGAUUUUUUUUAAUUCAACAAUUGGUUAUGGAUAUUCAUUCUUGGCUGCUACCAAUAUUGAAUACACCUAAUGUUAGGAGCUAAUUUGUUAGAUCUAUGCUUAGAGUUUAAUCAAAGUAAAACAUAGAGUAAACAAAAGGUAAGAAAAUUAUAUAAUUUAAAAAGUAGGCAAAAAUAAAAAAUAAGAACACCAUAAGUGAAAAGGACAAAUUUAAUUUAAUGAAGUUGAAAAUAAUAUCACUUUCUAGUCAUAAUUGAUCAAAUGAGAGAAAUUUGUCAGUAAAAUAAUGCCACACCAUCCAAGUACCAAAAAGACAUUUUUCAAAGGAAUAAUUGAAUUUUUUUAUUCCCUAAAUAAGUAGUUAAUUAUAGUUUUAGUUCUUGUGAUUUUUAACAAUUUAUUCAACUUUUAAUAAUUAUUAUUAUUAUUAUUUUUUUACCCUCCCUAGGAGCUCCCACCCCUUUUGCUCCCUUGAUGACUCGAACUCGCAACCUUCGGAUUAGAAAUGAGGGGUGCUUACCAUCCGAGCAACUCCCUCUCGUCUUUUAAUAAUUAAAUUUUGUUUUAGUAUUUUAGUAUAAAUAAGUAUACACUUUGUCUGGUUGAAGAACUUUCACCGUAUACGCUUUAUUUAUACUAGUUUCUGGAUACGUGCAUUGCAUAUGUGUUCUAUGAGAAUUUUCAUAGAUUUGUUGGAAUAAUUAAAAUAUUAUGAAAACAUGUAGUGAGUAAUAAAAUGCAAUUUUAAUUACUAAUAUAUCUUUAAAAUAUGGCAAAAAGUACCAAAUAAGGAGUGUAUUUUAAUGUUUAAAAUCAAGUUCUUUUAAGCAACCAACGGUAAGUUUUGAAUUUUGGUUAGUAGAUAGCAAACUUUCAAUAAAGCCACAAAUGACUAAUCAAUCAGAAAUUCAUAGAAAAUUUAAAUUUAAAAAGUCUAAUAGAUAGAAAACACAAAAAAAAUAAUACAAUGUACUCUUUCUUAAGACUUUAAUCAUACAAUAUAGAUGUAAACUGAAAAAUACAAAAAUAGUACAUAAUUUUUCGAGUUCUUGUCGACUCCUUCUAUCAUAACCAAUCAAAAUUCAGGAUCAAUCCUUCUUUGUCGAGUCAAACUAAAGAAUGAAUCAAUAGGACAAAAAUGAUAUAAAUGUUUCACUACUUUAACUAUAGAAUAAAAAGGAUACCUAAGGAUCUCAUGAAACAAAGAAGAUGAUUUAUAUAAAUAAAAUUUGAGGAAUAUCAAAAGUUAUCUUAAAAUCUUAAAUUAAAUAUUUAUAGGUUGUGAAUAUGAAAAGUAUAAGAUUUAUAGAUAUAAAUAUAUAUUAAUAGUAGCAAUUGAAUAUGUAAUUAGAUAUGAGAUAUAAAGGUGGAUAUUUAAAGCAAAUAAAAGAGAAAAAUAAUAAAUAAAUGAAAGGGUAUAAGUUUCAUAAAACCAAAACUAAAAAAAUAACAAAUAUAUAAUAUAAAAAAAUUGAAAAAAUAUUCAAAUGUGUUAAUAAAGCUUAAGAAAUUUCAGGAAGAAAAUAAAAAUAUGUAUGCAAUAACCAUCAUAAAUGUAUGUGACUACCAUUGGGUAUGCAAUAAUUGAGAAAUAUGCAGGCAAGAAAUGUGGGUUUGGUUAUUAAAAUUUAGUAGGUUGUAGUUAUUAGAAAAUGUUCUAUUAAUGAAGCAAAGAAAUGAGGAGGUUUAGGUUAUUAGAAUUUUGGGGUAGUAGUUAUUUGACUUAUUUCUAAGUAUUAAUGCAACCAAGAAAUGAGGGGUUUUGGUUAUUGGGAUUUAGAGCUUGCCUAUAUUCCAACGUGUAAAGUUAUCUAAAUUUGUAAUUCAUUUAAUGCAUAAAGAUGAAUGAGUGGUACUUCGUGAAAACAUUAAUGUCUUUCUAAUUCACCAUCCUUUACUAUGAUGUGGAGGUUAUGAAAAUGAAAAGGUGCGAAUUAUGGAGUUAAUCUUUUAAAUAAAGUAAUUAGAAAUAAGAAAUAUUUUAAAGUAGAUUAUUAAAUGCCUAAUAUAUAUAUAUAUAUAUAUAUAUAUAUAUAUAUAUAUAUAUAUAUAUAUAUAUAUAUAUAUAUAUAUAUAUAUAUAUAUAUAUAUAUAUAUAUAUAUAUAUAUAUAUAUAUAUAUAUAUAUAUAUAUAUAUAUAUAUAUUAGGAAUAAAAUGGUAUUUCAACUUUUAACUUUUUUUAUUCCCACUUUUAGUAAUAUAUAUAUAUAUAUAUAUAUAUAUAUAUGAUUCUUUUUAUUUUAAUUACCAAAAGAGAAAAAUAUUGUUAUCAUCAAAUUAACAACACAAAUUUAUCAUAACAUAUAAAUAAUUAAAUAAUAAAAUGACAAAUUUAUGAAGAUUCACUAACAAAUGAGUCAAUAGUUCAUAUAUCAAUUAAUCAAAAGGUUAAAUAUUACACUUACUCAAAUAUCAUGAGAACCAAAAUAUUAACUUUAUUAAUAACUAAAGAAAAGAAUAGUAGUUAUUAACCUUUUUAAAAUGUUCCACUUUCUUUGUUAUAAAAUACUUAAUUAAAAUAAAAUACAAUAUAGACACACUAAACUUUGCUACUACUUGCUAUUGUUGAAAAGCCUCCACAAAUAAUGUCAAAACUUUUAGCCAUCACUUAUGAAUUAUCUUUCUUUAUUAGUCAUUUAGUCAAAUUCUUACUACAAAAGUCCAAUCAAAGAACUUACAACCUUAAAAAAUCCUAAAAAUUACGGUGUGGUGAGACUAUUCCAUCCUUAAUCAGAGCUCUUGGGUUUGAGUAGGUAUGGAGAAAAUCCGCAUGACCCUCGAAAAGGGUCAUAUAGUGCUUGAUCCUAAUUUAGUCGGCGCUCUAAGGUAGACUCCAAACACCAAGUGGAAAACCUAUAAAAAAUAAAUUCUUGCAAUUUAUACAAAACCCCUGCAAGGUAUUUUUUUUCGUUGCACCAAAUAAGUGUUUGCUUCGAUUAUCGUAUUGUAUAUUAUUGAUACUGUUUUUUCGUUAUGUUUAACAUGAUUGCUUCUAUAUUGUAUUUCCUUUUUCAUUUACUUGAUUUUAUUGUCAUUUACGUAAGCAAUUAUUUAUCCGAAACAAUUUUUUUAUUAUUACGAGAUAAAAAUAAAGCUACAUAUACACCACCCUCUCUGAAUUCCGAACCCUGAUAUGUUGCUAUUGCACCAAAUAAUAAGUCCAUCAUCUAAUUAAUUAUUUUGUUUUAGAAAAGAAAAACACAGCCAGCCAGCAACAAAAACGUGACAUUGUCACUCAAAUAAUGUUAUUUUUUUCCAUUUCAAGUGCAGGCUAACGGUCUUGUCACAUAUAUCAAGGUUUCGGAUUCAAGUUUGAAAUCGUCUUUAAUAGAAUUUUUUUAUAAAAAAAUAGGAUUUUCCGAUGCACAUGUCUUUAAUAGGAAGCAUUAUUCUUCUUAAAAUAUAAUAUUUUGAUGUUAAUUUUAAUUAAUCGAACUCCAAAAUAGAUACCAAACAUCAAUCGUAAACCAAUAUUUAUGUUCUUUUGAAUUAAGAGCAUCUUAAACCUGCGGCAAAUCAUAAUGUUUUUUUUUUUUUAAUUUCAAGUGCAGGCUAUCGUUGUUGUCAUAUAUAUCAAUGUUUUGGAUUCGAGUCUAAAAUCGUCCUUAAUAGAAAGUAUUUUACAAGACUUUUCAACCUAAAUGUCUUUAAUAGAAAUCAUUUUAUUUCUUAAAAUAGGACUUUUCGAUGCGUAUAUCUUUAACUGGAAGCAUUAAUAGGAUUUUUUGAUGUGAAUUUGAAUUAGUUAGACUCCAAAAUGAAUAUCAAACAUGAACGUAAAACUAAUAGUUAUUUUAUUUUGAAUUAAGAGCAUCUUAAAGCUGCAGCAAAUCAUAGAAAAGAAAAACAAAAAACAAGCAAGCAAUUAGCAACCUCAUAUGACCAUAUCAUAUAUAUUAUUAUUAUUAUAUAAUAUCCACUGAAGUUGCAGAUAAAUAAUUAAAAAAAUUUCAAUAGCCAUCACUUAUUUUUUUAUUACCCUAUUAUUAAGUAGUUUUCAUGAUUUAUGUGUUAUUGUGUUUGUCUUUUGGGCAAACAGCAGUCCAUCCUUGACUGAUUGUUGAACUUCUUAAUUUUAUUAUUAUUUGGCACUUCAGAUUCGCACCGCAUAAAGUCCAUUCGAGAAAAACGCUACAAUCAAUAUAACAAGACCUUUCCUUACAUAUUUUUUCCGCUUGCUUUGUAGUACGAGCAUCAUACAGAGUCGUGCUCCUUUAAUAUGAUGAGAAGGAGGUCGUUAAUAUAUAAGAAAUGAUUUUCAUUACUUUACAAACUUGCUUUUAGUUGUACAUAUCUGUUUUACGAGAAAUCUUCAUUUUUACAGAUGAGAGAUCUGAAAAAGUUAUUUUCUUCUGUUCAAUUCGUAAAUGUGACAUAAGAAAUCAUUUCCUCUAUUGAAUGUAGGACAUUAGUACAUAAUUUCAAACAUUAUUUUGUCCAUGUAAUACAAUGCUAGAGUUCAUACACCGGCUGGAAGAGGGUGCUAUUAGACUCAAUCGCCCCUGCAACUGAGGUCACGUUCAAUCACAUACCCCCACAUCUUAUCGCGUUUUACUCCAUCCCAUAGACAUCAAUCUCUGCUCAUAUUCCAUGGAUUGUCUUUGGAUAAGAUUGUUGAUCGUAGUAAUCACAAACACUUGAUGAGGGACCUACAAUAAGCACGGUCAUCUAGUAUUUAUGAUUACUAUAGUAAACAAUCUUACCCAAAAACAGUCUCAUGGAAUAUGAGCAGAGAUUGUUGCUUAUGGGAUGGAGUUAAAUGCGAUGAGACGUCGGGCCAAGUGAUUGAACUUGACAUCAGUUGUAGCCUGUGGGGAUGAUGAUGGAUUCCAAUAGCACCCUCUUCGAGCUCUCUCAUCUUCAAAGGCUCUACCUUUCUUGGAAUAACUUACCCAAUUCUUACACCUCAGACGAUAGAUGACUUCAUCUGUAUUCUAAUAAGAAGUGUGGUUGGAAGAGGGUGAUAUUCGACUCAAUCGUCCCUGCAACUGAGGUCACGUUCAAUCACAUGCCCCAACGUCUUAUUACAUUCACUCCAUCCCAUAGACACCAAUCUCGGCUCAUAUUCCAUGACUUGUCUUUGGAUAAGAUUCCUGACUGUAGUAAUCACAAACACUCGAUGAGGGACCUACCGUAAGCAUUCUCUUGAAUUUUAGAAGGGAAAUGCUUUGAUCAGAAAUUAUUGUCCAAAAGAGCACGGUCAUCUAGUAUUUGUGAUUACUAUGGUAAAAAAUCUUAUCCAAAAACACUUUCAUGGAAUAUGAUCAGAGAUUACUGCUUAUGGGAUGGAGUUAAAUGUGACAAGACGUCGGGCCAAGUGAUCGAACUUGACAUCAGUUGUAGCUAGUGGGGACGAUGAUUGAUUGCAAAAGCACCCUCUUCCAGCUCUCUCAUCUCCAAAGGCUCGACCUUUCUUGAAAUAACUUAUCCAAUUCUCACAUCUCGGACUAUAGAUGACUUUAACUGUAUUCUACUAAGAAAUGUGGCACUUGCUGAUCAUGAAUCAAUCCACAAAUUAUGCCUUCGGCUUUGCUAGAACUGCAGUUUGUUAACUCACACAUCGUAGGCUAGAGUCCAUGUAAUCUGUGUGAUAUACAGAUCUAUUUGCCGCCUUCGCGUCAAGAAUUUCCUAAAAAAGACAUGACCACAUGAGCCAAAACUUAGUUAGAGAUGGUACAAAUAAAGAGGAAAACAAUUUACAAAAAGAUAAUGGAUAUAGAAAAUUAUAUACAGUUCAUGUGGGUUUGUGUGCAGUAUGUCAAUAUAAGAUUGUAAACCGAAAAGAUCAAUAUCGGCAUGAUAAAUAUACAUCAGAAGCUUUACAGCUCUCGAGACAUGUUGGUUUAAGUCUUAGCUCCAACGUCUAUAUGUCAAUUAAGGAAAUAAGAACCUACUCAUCCAAGAUGAAGUUGGUCCUUUAUGAUGGGCGUUUUUAGUGUAGAAUUACUAGUGAGCUGAAAAUAGUGGCGAGUUCUUUGCAUGGGAUAGCAAUUUGACACUAGAAAUUUGAAAUAUUUGGCUUAUACUGUAUAUCUCAUCUGAUGACUGAUAAAUAAAAAUGAAACUACUGAUACAUGUACAAUGGUUGUUGGCAAGGAAGGUCAAGUAUGCCAUUUAGCUGAAGCGAGCUACUUAACAAAACACUUAGCAGUUAACAGCAUUAAAAACAUUGCCAGGGGCUAGAGUAGCUAAUGAGUCAAAGUAAAGAGCAUAAGGUUAGAGGGCAGACCGUUAUGUCAAAAUUUUGAAGCCUUCCCCUGCGAAUCUUCGAUGAUGCACUAUGUAUUCUAUGUUCUGUAUGACUAUAAAACUGUAUCUCUGAUUUCAACCUUUGUCCUUGAGAAUCUGUGUACCAACUACCAUCAUCAAUCCUUGAACAGGCCUUCCCGAGACCUCAUAGUUCUAAAUUUCUGCUGGUGUAUCAACCUCAAAUACAAUCUAAGUGAUCUGCUUCUGGAUGUUGUAACAUUUAACAGUUCCAACCAGAGCUAGUGAUUCAAUUAUGGCCUGCAGAAGUUGCUCGGGGAAAUCUUCAACACGAGCAAGUCCGUGAUGACUUUGCACAGAACUCAAAACUCUACCGACGAUCUGAAGGAGGAAUAAUGAGAUGAAAUUAUGAUACUGCUAUAGUAUUUAGCUUAUGCAGUUGAUUGGAUAGACUAGAGUAAUUUCCAUGAUUGGCAAUAAGGACCUACCUUUCGUGCAUAGCCACCAAACGCCACACCAGCAAUCAAAGCAUUUGGUGAAUGUAAGGUGCUCGAAUUUUUCUCAUUUCUUGAAGCCUCUAAAUGAAUGUGUGGAUUGUGUCAAAACUUCAGUGUUAUAUGGAAUAUGAACUUAAUAAAGUGGGGACUGUGGAGUUAAUACAAGAUUUCUUGAGUUAAUACCGUGUAUGGUCGUUGUUUGGAAUAAAUUCUCUUUUUUCAACCCCUCCACUGUGUGACCAUUGGUACCACCAGCCAGUUGAAGGAAGCCUGUGACAUAGGAAGAAUCUUCAAAUUGCACUAGCGAGUAGUUCAUAGAAAAAGACACCAAUGAGUCGUAUCAUGUCAUUUAUCAGAAGAAUUUUUUAUGUGCAAACCUUUAGGCUUGUCACCAGCAGAGGCCAAUUUUCGUGCAAAAGCAAUUGCAUCUCUCGUGGCACCUCGCCCAAUAUCUCCACUCAUUGGUCGACCAUCCAACUUCAAUUAGAAUCAUUAGUAGAAAUGAUGAGAAUAUAUUCCGAGCGUUCUAGCUUCUAAAUCAAAAUUAGUGAUAGGACAAAUGAUCUGCACCUGCCAUAAGUUGACGCAGUAUAUGCUGGAUUCCAUUAUAGAGUACAUAGCAUUCAUUGCAGAUAUGGUUGAAUCUCUCAAGUCUGGAAAACUAACCUGCACGAAACCAUGAUAAAAACAAUUUUUUUAACUUAAAUUCUUGAAAUGGAACAAGUUGUUUGAACUUGCUAGAUGAUACUCUCUCCCUUACAAUUUCUUUGUAUGGGUUUGACUUGACACAGAGUUUAAGAAAAUAAAAAAGACUUUUGAGUCUUGUGGUCUUAAACUAAAGAUAUGUAAAAUGCACCAAAAUUCCCUGUAAUCUCGUGGUUUUACACAUGCCACGUGGAAAGUUAGAAUUGAAGAGUUAUCAAGAAAGGAAAGAGACAUUCUUUUUGAAAUGGACUAAAAAGACAAGUAGGACAAACAAAUUAAACCGAAGGGAGUACUACUUAAUGUCACCAACAGAGAUCAAAAAAAGAGUAACAGCUUCACAUACUGCCACGAGCUUCAGAUUUGCAGUUGAGUUCCCCAACCCAGUCCAGAGUUCGUUAAAAACUGAAGGUUCUCUGUUCCAAAAAUGAGAAUGCAGAUAAGAUACACUUUUUAGCUACAAAUUGAUGUUACUCUGAUAAUGUGACAAAGAACCAUUUGUACAUUUUGUUUGUGAUUUUUGUUGUUACAGAAUAAGUAGAACCAAAAUCAGAUUGUAUUGCAGAAAUAUACAUUGAGUAAGCAUCUAUUCUAUGGUUAAGUUUGUGUGUCAAUUAAAUAAGUAGUGAAAAUUCACACUUGAAUGAUUUCGGGGAAUAUAUUAACCGAAAAGAAAAUUAUGCUAACCUUCCACUAGUAUGAAUUUCUAUGGCAUCAACAUCAUCCCUUUCAAGAAGUUCAGCUGUAGCUAUAACAUCUCUCACAUACGUAAUAGCUCCUGAAUCAACGAAAAGAUAUCUUCAUGAAUUCAAUUUGCAGAAAAACAACAAUCCUGACGUAAAAGGGCACGGAGGAGGUGAAAAUAGACAGGCAGCAGUGAACUCACUUAUUUUGUCAUAUGGACAAACCGGAAGGCAGCGACCACAACCAUAACAUCGGUCAGCCAAAACUCCUCCCUGCAAUAGUUACAGAUGUAGCCUUUAGAAAUGAACAUGAAUAAGCUUAAACACGAAUAUAGCAGGUUAACAGCUGUAGAAUAAAUCAAGGGAAAUCAAAAUGGAGAGAACCUUUUGCAAUAUUGCAUUAGCAGGACACACUUUUUCACAAGGUCUCAUGCAAUCCCGGGGGCAAUCAUCCGGAUCAAAUUCUGCAACAUUAUCAUAGACAAUUGGAGUAUUAAGCCCACAUAUCUUACUUAGGAAUACUUUCCAUGAGUAAUUUCAUUCAUGGUAAAAUACAAUCUUGGGUCUUUGAUCUAAGACCAAUAUUAGAAAGGCUGAGUACGGAGGACAAAGCUCUUAAAACAAGAAUAAUCAAAGACGAAAAUACACGAUGAAGUCGACAUUUCAUAGUUUCUAAUGCUUCAGAAGAUUAGGCACUCCAAUCAGAAGCCUACUUUUUUUGAUAACCGAGAAAUCCCCCGACCAAUGCAUGGUUAAAACCUCGGUGGAUCACGGGCUAGCUCAUCUACCCUUCUCCACUUACUUACCAUAUUUUUUACUGGAAAGUUUUUGCCUACGGCAGGGUUGAUAGUACUUAUAUUAAGAGAAAGCAAGUAACUUUUACCCCUACAUCACGUAACCAAGAUUAUGAGAAUCAGAAAGGACAAAUAUGCUGGUUGAAGUCGAGGUGUGGGGGGAGUUACCAGCUUUACGGAAAUGAAGAUCUUCAUCAUCAUUAACACUGAUCAUUACCCAAGGCCUGCGUAUGGGCACAAGGGCUCUGGCUGCUUCUAUCCCUUCAUUUACAGCAUUCACCACUGACGCCUCAGCAGCGCAGUCAAUGCAAUCAACUACAAUCAACACACAAACUUAUCAACCCAAUGCAAGGAAUAAUAGUACCAAAACUAUAAGAGACAGUUAAUGAUUCAAUUCUCACCUCCAGCAAGAGUGUAAACCAGAGAAAGGUUCCUGAUAUCAACCAAAUCCUACAAAAACCAAGAAAGAUAAAAAUUGCUCAAAUAUGUUAACAUGUCUCUGCAUUUUGUAUAAUCUUCAUACUUAGUUUGUACUAGCUUCAUUACACUUUAAUGACGGGAUUCGACUACACAUGGAGUAUAAGAUGUUUAUUCUGAUUAUACAAAAUUUUGAAACAUCAUAUGAAUUGGAACACCAAGUAGUUUAUUCUGGUUAUACAUUUGUGUCAGUCCUUAAACAAAAGAACAUCAUAUGAAGUUAUACAAAAAAAGUUCAUCUGCAGAAAAGUGUAAAGGUGGAGUCUUUAUAGUGAAUAAAGAGUUAAUAAGUGAAGACCUCAAAGCUAGCACCACAAAUGAGCUUGACCCAAUUUCCCUUCUGAAGAGAUUCAACAGGUGAACUACUAAUAGAAGGAAUCACUGUCUUCUUUAUGAUACUUUUCACCUUUUCGACCCCAUUGUAGUUGCUGUAAUUAAGUGGAUCUGGUAAGAGAAACCAAAAAAAUUCAAGAAAAUUGAAAACUUACAAAAAGAUUAAUAAUUAUCAAAACCCCAUAAAUCCAAAUUGAUGGAAUAGAUAGAGAGUACCUUGCAAUUUGGUGCCAAGUGAAGCAUAACAAGGAAUGCUCAUAGACAUCUUGUUAAAAGGAGCUACUUUUGGAGAUAAAGAGUAGGUGGAGAAGAUUGUUUGUUAUCUAAAAAGAAUCUUAAGUUUUUGAAACUACAUCAUCACCCCCUAUAAUUGUUUGAAAAUGUUCAAGCACAUCCUCAUAUUUGUGAUUUGUCUUAUAUUUGUCUUAUAUUUAUCUAUCUGUAUAGAGUUGAUCAGUCAAAAACUCACACAUUCAACAAGUGUUUGGGUAGAUGUGCGAAUCUAUACUAGGAGAGAGUACAAUAUUAUGAAUAAAGUUAUUUGGAACAAGGUAAGAGUGACCUUUGUGCUGGACAAGAUGCAUGAAAGUGAUAAGAGAUAUUUUGGCAUGUGAAGAGAAAGAGAACAUAUGCCCCCAAUGGAAAAAUGCGAGAGAUCUACGAUGAUAGGUCUAAGAAGAUAUAUAUCAAGAAAGAAAGGAGGUGAGAUCACUAAACAUGACAUGAAUUGGACAGUUGAAAUUCAAGAAUUAGUGUAAAAAGAUUAAUAGUAGUUGAACGUUUUCUCGCUUCUAUGUAGGAGAGCUUAGUUCUAGUUUAGAGCAUUUUAUCUGUUUUCUCUUCUCCUUACAUGUCUCACUAUAAUGUUAUUAUUGUUGUAUUCCUUAAUUUCAUUUAUUUAUAUUGUUCUCUUACUAUUUUGUUGUCGUUACUUUUCUAUUCUUUGAUAUUUUCAUCAUAGCUCUUUGCUCUCGAAGUUGUCAAACUUGUUCUGGAAACGUUUUUUUUAGUCGAGGAUCAUAUCAAAAACAACUUUUGUACCUCUCUUAAAACAUGGAUAAGGCAUAUUCACACUAAAUAUGUUAUUGUUAUUAUUCUUUAAAUAGACUAUUCAUAACGUUCAAAACUUAGUUUAUGUAUAAUCGUUUCAAAUAACAAACACAUAAUUUUCUCAAUUGGUGAAAAAUCGAUAAAUAUCAUAGUAUCAAACCUUUCCAUUGAUGUGAGCUCUCGAGGAAAAUCAUCAUGUUAGUCUUUUCUUAAUACUCCCUUUGUCCCAAUUUAUGUGACACUUUUCAUUUUUUGAGAGUCAAACCGUUUAAGUUUGAUCGGGAAUUUGCGCAUGGAAUCUUUGAAAUAAAUUUAUAUAUUUGUAAACUACGUAAAAAGUACUAUAAGUCACAAUAAUUGAUAAUUCAAAAUGUUUAAAAGAUCUAUGAAAAAUUUACGGUCAAAAAUAGAUUUGUUCGUAUCACAAAAUCCGAAAAGUGCCACAUAAAAUGAAACAAAGGGAGUAUGUUUUUUUAUUUAUUUAUUAAAGAAUAUUUUACUACUUUAAAGAACAUUUCUUUAACACAAGGAAAUAACAUAUUUUUCUUUAAAUUCUUUUUUUUUUUUGGUCACACCUAACACACCAAAUAACAAUUUUUACAGUUUCACCCACAAACUUUGCAUUAAUUUCCAAAUAGUACAUCUUUAGGGUUUAAGAAACUCAUGAUUAUCUCUAAAACCCUGAGCUCACUCACUUUUUGUGUACACUCCAAAAUGGUGAACGUCGCCGGCGACGACGAUGAUGAUUUCGGUGAUAUCUACGCCGACGUAUUAGUUCAAGCAAGUUCAGCUAUCAAUGCUCUACAGAGUUCAACGAAGGUUCAAACGGAAGUUAAUGAGGUUAACUACAAUGCUGCUGUCGGAAACUGUAAUCGUGAAAAUGCUGUAAGAGGAGAAGAGGAAUGUGAGAGCGAGAGUGGAGAUGACUUGAACAUACUGUUGAAUGAUGAUGAAGGUGAUGAUAAUUUUCUCAAUGCUGGAUGUGAUGAGGAUGAAACUGAGGGAAAUGGAGGUUUUAGUGUUAGUGAUAAAGGAAAUGGUUUAGGACAGAAUUCAAAUGGCAGCGGAAGUGGCGAUGGAGAGAAAAACAGUUACAAGGUAGCAUUAUAGACUGUGAAAUUAGUGAAAAAGAGUAGUGUUAAUUUGAACUUGUUUUCGUGUUGCUUAGUUGUUGAACCUGAUUACUGAUUAGAUGAGUUGCUUUGAUUAUUGAAUGCUUAUAUUGGUUUGAUUUUAUGUAUAAAACAAGGGAGGUUAGUGUAAAGCUGAUUAUGAGGUUUGCAUAUUUUAAUAUUCCUGCCAUUUACUAUGGUCGAAGACUCUUAUUUGGCAGCAAUUAAGUUUUUCUUGCUUGAAAAACUGAAAAUUUGGUAAAUGUAUACUCUCUUCAGUUUAUUUUCUUGCAAUGCACCUACCUCCACUUGCUGCAACUUGGGGAUUUUACUGGAAAUGCCUUUAGGUGUUUUCUUCGCGAUUAUCUAUUUUUGAAUUCUUCAAGUGUGAAAAUUAUCAUGAUGAUUGAUGAUAGACUUCAUCAGCGUUUACAUGAAUUAAUGCAGUUAAGCUUUCAUGGAUUAGUCAAGGUGCUGGCCUGAAUGCCACCUAUAUGGAAAGAAAAUGGAUUAAUACUGUUCUGUACUUCUGUUACUUCAUAGUGUUUCAUUCUCCGAAUUAUGAUUUCGCCCCCUCUUUUAUGUAGAACACAAGACCACCACAAGCAGCAUACUCAAGUCAUCUCAAAGCCAAUAGAUCUUCUUGUGCGCCUUCUUACUCUACAGCAUUUGUCAAGGGCAAAUGGGAGGAUAAUAGCUACACACAAAGGGUGGGCUCAGGCUUUGCUGCUCAAAAUGGACAGAGCUUCUCACUUCCUCGGUCGAGGUUAUUAUGUUUUGUCAAACUUUGCUUGUAUUCUAAUCUUUGGUUAAUGCUUUGUUGUGUUUCCAUUUUUAUAGAAAAACAGUUCAACAUACUGUUAUAAGAAAAUUAUCUACAUUUGAAACAACUGGUUCCACUUUUUCUGGUGCAUAUUUGCUUAUUGGAGAUAAUGUUGGUCAUCUCAUCAAAGAACUGUUAUGAAAUAGGUUUACCAGAUAAAGUUGUUCUAUAUUCUUUUGUAGGCUUAAUCUUUUCAUAUUUCAUAGAUAUGUAAUUGAUCCAUAAUUUUUCAGGAAUAUAUUGGACGUGAAUAUUGAUAUGUUUGAGAAGAAACCUUGGCGGUAUCCAGGCACUGACUUGACAGAUUAUUUUAAUUUUGGCUUUGAUGAAGAUAGUUGGAAACAGUAUUGCAACUGCCUGGUAAUGAAUGCAUAUAAAUUUGUCUGUUUCUGAUAUGUAUUAGAGUAUAUAGUUUUUCCUUUUAUCAUUUCUUGUUAUCUUUGUUUUUGUAUUUCUUCCAACUUUCUAGAAUGUAUUGUGGCAAAGUUGUUUCUACUAUUUUUACUGCAUGUCUUACAUGUUUAUCAUUGGCCGUGACUUUUGAAAUAGGAUGAGCACCGAGAUCAAGCAAAAAAGAUAGUCAAAGAUUCAGACUACAAGACUUCGAAAAUUAGUAAGGUAGGAAUCUCUGGAUGAUUGUCAAGUUUUACUAUUCCUUAAAUAAUAGGUGAAGCCUUACCUUAUAAAAAAAAGAAGAAAAAGAAACAAUUAGUGAGCUUAGUGUAUCAAAUGGGUUGUGAAAGCUGAAGGUGACCAUGUUUCUGUUCAAACCAUGCUGAAGAUGACAUUUAAAAAAAAUGUAGAUGUCUUCGUUACCUAACAGUUCUUAAAUGCUAUCUGAAAUUGAACUGUUAAUGAUGUUUAUGGUAUAAACUUGCCAAUGUUCAGCCAAAAGGUAGAGAAAUAGAGGUGGAAGAGAGCAUGAUUGAGCGCCGACCAUCAACAGAUGUGGGACGUCCACAGUAUCGGGAUUCUGGUGUCGUCAUACAGGUAUCAAAUUUUUUAAUUCUUCCCUUUUCUUGACCAUCUAAUUGCUGUGUGCUCACAGGCUUGUGCUGGCACCAGAUUGCUUUGCAGCAGUCAAUGGAAGAUCCCAUAAGUUCUACAAAAGAGCAGCGGGAAGCAUCUGAGAAUGGAGAUGUUGUUGGGGGAGAUAGAAAGGAGUUUCUCUGUUUCAGUAGUGCCAGCGAAGAUGAGUUAACCAGCUUGGAAGGAAUUGGAGAAGGAUCAGGCAAGUCUACAUCUGGAAGGUAUGUCAUCUACUGGUUGAAUUGUGAUGAUAGUCUGUAACACUACUUGCAUUAUUCUUUUGCUGGUUAAUCUUCACAUUGGAACACAACUAUUUUGCGAAGGACGUGUCAGUAAAAAUGACCUUGCAGAUUUUAAUCCUUAUGUAGUUUAAGUUCGAAGGCUAUAUUAUGUUGCAAUAUAAGAGCUUGAAAUGUGACAGGUUUUCUCACAUGUUCUUGAUGCUUAGUUGGCUUAAAGUUGUCGGCUUCUAAGUCUUUUUAAGGUUUUGUUUUCCUAGACAUGCUUGCAAAAUAUUGUCAAAUUUUUCAAAGAUUUCCUUCUUCAUGGACCAUGAGUAAUCUGAUCCAUUGUCGGCUUUCUUUUUGCUAUCUUCACCUUUACUUUUAAGUCUUGCUUCUCACAUCUCUCCUGUUUUUCUGCUGAUUGAUGAUACAUAAAAAUGUAUUUAAUGGUUCAAGUUACUUCAUUCUCAUAAAAUUAACUCUGGAUUUCAGGAUUACACCUGUUUGUGAGCACGUGUCUAUGGGUUCAGAUAACUACGGAAAUUCUGAGUUCUCUGAUGCAGAUGAGCGACACCACCAAGAGGGGACCUACUGUAAUGUUGAUCAAACCUCAGGAGCAAUUAGAUCUUCUCAUGAUGCAAAUAAAAGCAGUGAGAGAGACAUAUCUGAUCCAAGACAACCUAUAAAGUUGCAAGAACCACUGCAUGGUGGAGGCAGAGAGCAUAGCCCAGGUUCAUCUUGUUGUUCUCUAAGUCAUGGUGGCACAUCUGGAGAUGGGACUUUUCUUGACUUAGAGAAAUCUCAUGAUCAUCAUACAAGGUUAUUAUCAAACACAGAAUCUGAGUUACGGGAGAAGGGUACAAUUGAUUACCAGCCAAUUUAUGGAACCAAUCAUAACAGAACAAAGUCUGGUGAUCCUAAAUAUUUUACACGAGGUAGAAGGUCUGUGCAAAGAGAACUGCUGCAUGACAGAAGAAGACCUGGUCGAAUGAGUGGAACAAUUCCUGCUCACCUGAAAGAUGAGGAUUCCCACAAAUCAGAUGCUAGGAUACUGUAUGAAAGGCGUAAUUCAACUGUGAUCCGAUACAGACAGAGAGAUAGACGAUAUGCUUUUGACUCUCAUGAAAGGGAAGAUACUUCACAUUUUAAGAGGGCAGAACCCGUUUACUCUAAUGCAGGACGAUUUUCUGAUUAUCCAUGCCGGGAUUCUUUUACAAAAAAUCCUGAGAUGGAACAUCAGUUAAGAUGUAAAUAUGACAAAAACUGGUCUGGCGGUCGAAGCGUGAAAAGAAAGCUAGAUCCUCUUGAACUAUCAAUUUAUACAGAUGAUGAAUUGUUGGAAAGAGAUAGACCCCAUUAUGGGAGAAGACUCACUGUUCAGGAUAUGGACACCGUUCCUUUUCAUGAAUCGGAACAAUGGUUCGAUAAGUAUAUUUCCUAUUCAGAUGAUGAGAAUCCCAGUCAACGAAUGCGGAAAAUAGAUCAGCUGCCGAGUAAGAAGAGAGUGAGGACUGAUGAUCUUGUAACUGAAUGUAAUUACAUCUACGAUAUCAUGGAAGAGACUGAUAACAGAUAUAGACCAUACAACCACAGGGAUACUAAUAUUCUAGAAGAUGGCUAUCAUGUAAAUUUGACUUAUUUCAGAAGAGAAAUUAAAAGCCCCAGUAGGGGCAAAAGGAGAGAUGUCAGUCCUUGCAAAAGUUCAAAUGAUAUAUGUUUCAUGGAUCUAAAGGAUGAGGAAGGGAGAUUUGAUGGGUAUCGACCUCCAUCCUUUCGUUUGUAUAGAGAAUCUUGUACUUCUAGCAGAAGGUGGCAGAGCCCUGAACUGCCACGUGGCAGACACGGAAUAUUCAGUGGGACUAGGAAAUGUGAUGGUGGUGCUAAUUUGACCAACUCCAUUGGUUCCGAUCAGACGAGCAAGUAUCCUGGUAAUCAGGACAAUUUUAAAAGAAGAAGAGGGGGCCAGCAGUCUGAAGGGAUGCAAUGGGUUGAAGAUGAAAACAGUUCUAGGUAUCAGCAAAAUAUAUUCGAUGCUGAGAGGACGUCAUAUUCGUUCAGAAGAAGUUCAAGUGACCGAAGGUUUAAUUCAUUUGACAAUAAUCAUGGACCCAACCCAGUAGAAAAGCUUUUAGAUGAUAGGCAUGUGGAGCAGGAAAAAUACAAAUUGAUCAGGGAAGGCAAUAAUGCCAGUCAAUUUGGUCAAGGGUCUAAAGUUUUUCAUAAAGAUAAUCAUUGGAGGAGAUUCCCAAGAGGGAGAGAUUCUGUUGACACGGGCUUGAUUGUUGAGAACGGAGAGGUAAUUUUGUGUAUACAAAUGUCAAGAUUGUAUAGUCUAUAUGUAAAUAUGAGUUUUCCAUAUAUGUUGGGUCCUGUUCCAUUGUGUGAUAUCAUCUCAUGCUACCAAGGUCUCCUAUUUCCCUGUGCGUUUGAUUUCAGAUUAAAGUUCUCAUGUUGCCUUGUUUUUUUUUUUUAAAAAAAAAUUGUUCUUGAAUUGACCCUUAAAAAAUUGAACUUGUCAACUCCAAAAUUAUAUUAAGCUUGCUAUUCUAGGAAUUCUUAUAUUAUUACCUUUAAGCAAUUGAUCAUCAGUAUUCUCUAGUUACUUAUGAAACCAUAUAAAUCUGUUGGUGACCAUUUAGUCGUUUAUUUCUUGAUCCUACAAAUGUGCAUCAACGUUGUUACUGACAGUCCUCUAUAUGUUGACGAGAAAAGAGUGUUUGCUUAAGGGACAUGUUACCAUUUUGUAGCUCCAGUUGGUGUUAGUCUUUUGUCACUUGAAGUACAUUAGAUAUCUAAUGUGAUAGCACUUUUGCAAAAAAUAAGAGAGGACUCCGAAGUUCAUUGUCUUUGUGUAGUUAUAUAGGUAAUCUUCUGCAACAGGAAUAAGCAAGUAAACUUUUUCUAUAUACUGCAAUUUUAAUAUCAGUAAAGCGGAUCUCAGUAAACUAGGCAGAAAACACCAAAUUGUAUUACUGGAGUAUCACUAAAUUGUAAUCAUGACGAGGCUUGCUUAUUCUUCUAACUCACGAGAUCUCAUUUAACACAAAUAGUUUCUAUUUUUGUGUUGAAAUGGGCUGUCAUUCUUUUUUCUCGAGUCUGAUAGCUUGAUAUGUCACUAGCACAAUGUUUCUGCAAGACUUCAUUGAUUGUUCUUUUAUCUUAAAUUGAGCAAUAGUUUAGGAGGUAAGUUGCCUUUGUAUGCCGGCAUUGGCAUAAAACUGUGUUUUACUUUUACUAUCAGCGUCAAACUACAUGUCCUGACUUUUUGGAUAUUAACCAUCAUAAAGUUGUGCUUAGUGCUUACACAAGAACUUUACAUGAUUCAACAUUCUAUCAAAUCUUAUAUUCUUUCUUGGCAUACGCUUUUGUAUGUGGGAUACCUUCAGUUUUUAAUAAAGUAUUAUAUUUGCUUUCAUUUAUUCUUCAAUACAACUUUUUUUGAAUAUGAUGACUUCAAGUCGUGUUCAAGAAUGUGAGCUGGGAAGUGAAAUAAGAAAAAGGAGAUCGCUACACCACUGAAGUUGCUGUCCUAAUGCAUGCUCCUUUUAUGUGUCUGGACAACUUUGCAUCUUGAUUGGAAAUGAUAAUUUUAGCUGGACAGAUAAUCUAUAUUCAAUUUUUGAGAGGCCAUAUUAGGUGUUGCUCCUGCUUGAACUUGGACUAGAAUGAAGUCUUGUUUUUCUCUUAUCAAUGGGAGGGGGUGUUCAAUGUUUGAAUAUGUAGUGCUUGGGAUCUUAAGUAGAUAAGAACAAAUUAAAAAUACUGAUAUUCUGUGUGAGCUCAUGACUAUUUAACAUCAUAUCUUGGAAGUAUUUUUUACUUCUGAUAUUCCGUUUAGUACAGAUGAUGGGGUGCUUUUGGUAGAAAACUAUGUCUUUUUGUAAGGUUCUCUACAUUUCUCCCCAUCUUUUCAAUAGAAUUGUUACCUCCAUUAUCCAAAAAAUAAAAAAGAACUAGAGUUAAUUAUUCUGUUUCUAGAAUUUAGAAUCCACACUUUACUUUCUUCAGCUCUGUUUGAGGUAAGAUCCGACCCUUCCUUGGUGGUGUCAAAGUUUUUUUAAAAAAAAACAAACUAAUAAUCAUAGAAAAGGGAAUUAGAUGUGGAGAAAACUUUAACUGCAUAUUUCGUCUCGCAAUUAUAGUGUUUUACUUCUGCUUCAGGAGCCAUUUCCUUUUCAUCAAUUUUAUGAUACAUUGAUACCAUUUUGUUAAUAUGGUCUCUCUGAUAUUUAUUUUUAUUUUGAUAUACCAUGACAGCAUUAUAAAGCUUUGUUAUUAUCCUCGUUCUUAACACAUUCCUAUGUUUUAAAUUUCUUCUUGGCUGCACUUUAUUGGUAAACAAAAGCAUGAUGGUCUGCUUUGGAAAGUCAUCUUGAUUAGCACGUAUGCUAAUUCCUUUUAUCCUUCAGCUCCAGUUAUAAUUUAUUACAAACACAUAUAGCCAUUGACUAUAUAGCUCUCUUCUGUUUAACUAUUUAAGUUACAUCCCCUUUCAAAGUUUCAAGUUUGUGAGUACUUGGUAUGAUAGUUUUGCCUUUGACAGUUAACAAGUUCUCUAAUUCUUUUCAUGGUAAGUUUUUGUGUCACGUGAGCUCACGCACGAUAAGGCGGCCUCUCUUCAUUAAUUGUGUAAACUAUCAGGAUUUUGAUUUUUGUUUGUGACCAUGGAUCUGCAGUCCUCCGGAAGAUGCUCCAAAGCAGGGGGUGUAACAUCCUUUGACAGGUAUAGCCACUUGGAUUCAGAUAGUUAUGUGGAGCUGAAGCCCAUCGAUGGAACUAGCAAACCCCAUUUCAGGAAGACACUCAGAACUCGAAAUGUGACGACUGAUCCUAAAGAAAAUGAUAAAGGAAGGCUUGAUAUAUUCUCAGAUGCCAACCAGGAAGAGUCUCUGGAUAUUGAAGAAGGUCAGAUAAUUGAAGAAAUGAACGAGAAAAUCAUUAAAAAGAGAAUCACAUGUUCUGGCAAAUCACAAAUCAGUGAAAUGAAGAAUUUCGCGUAUGAUAAAAAUGUGGAGGGACAGGACAACAACCCUAGGAUUUUGGAGAUCAUGGCAAAGAUGGAAAAGCGUGGAGAGCGUUUCAAGCAGCCUAUUGCUCUCAAAAGUGAUACAAAGAAUGUCUCUAAGCCUUUGGUUGAUUCGUUUGCUUUGUCAACUGAACCUAUGCAACCAAGACCAGCACGAAAGAGGAGAUGGGCUGCAAGCAAGGCAACUGUUUAAUGCUUGUAUUAGAGAAGGUGCGUCUCACUAUACCUUCAUAACUGGAUUUGUAUAUAGUGGCGUUUGAUUGAAGAAAUGGUUGCUGAUGGUAUAACUGGGGACGGGGUUAAGAAGUUUCCCAUGAAAAGAGGGAAAAAGAAAACACGUCUCAUAAAGAAUACUGUCUGUUUUGUUGCGCUAAAUGCGUUUUUUUUCCUCUGAAGUAUAAUUGAUUAUUUUGAUUUCAAAGGAUGCAAGGCUACCAGUGAUGAUGGUAUGGCUUGAGCUUUUAUUUAGUCAACUUUAUUCCCAUUUGGUACAAGCUUUAUUCUUGAGAAAUCAUGGUGUCUGCCAUGUAUAAUUUCUCAGUUAAGUUUUAUAAUUUUUUCUUAUUAGUUCCUUGAUAUGUUUCAGAAGUAGUGGUUUGGAAGCAACUUUCCUGUUUGAUUAUAUGGAUCUACAAGUUCAAGUUGCAAGCUUGUCUGAGAUGUUUUGCUUCAAUAAGGUAGUGAGUAUGGCGUAAUGUUAGGGACGGAGUUAGGAGGUUGCAAAGGGUUCAUUCAAAUCUCUAUCGUUGGAAAUUACAUUGUAUAUGAUCAAAUUAAUACUAAUUGUUUAUCUAUCUACAUCUAUAUUACCUUAAAAGCAUGAACUUCUAACUUGAAUGUUAAAUUACUAAAAUAUUCGUAACUUAGGUUGUGAUUUUUUUAAUGAGUUAUGACUUUUUCGAUAACUAGUGGAACAAAAAUGCGCCACGAAUUCACAUAACAAAUGUUGCUAAAAGUUAAUAUUCGUGGCAACUAAAAUUGUCACUAAAUUAUAUAACGAUUAUCGCUAAAAGAUUGUAUUAAUGGCAACUAAAACAGCCACUAAAUCAUUAAACAAUUGCCACUAAAAGAUAGUGUUAGUGGCAACUAAAACAGCCACUAAAUCAUUAAACUAUUGCCGCUAAAAGAUAGUAUUACUAGCAGCUAAAACUGCCACUAAAUCAUUAAACUAUCAUCGCUAAAAGAUAGUAUUAGUGGCAACUAAAACCACCACUAAACCAUAUGAGUCGCUGGGAAUAAAGUAUUAGUGGCAACUAAAACAACCAAAAAAUCAUAUAAAGUCGCCACAAAAAGAAAGUAUUAGUGGCAACAAAACCGCCACAAAUCAUAUACGUGUCGCUAAAAGUCAGUAUUGGCAACUACUACUGCCACUAAAUCAUACAAGAGUCGCCGCAAAAAGAAAGUAUUAGUGGCAACAAAAACCGCCACGAAUUCCUAUUAAAGUCGCCGCUAAAGAUUUGUUUUAGCGGCAACUUAAUCCGCCACUAAUAAAAAUAACAGUUGCCGCUAAAAGAUAAUAUUAGUGGCAACUAAAACCGCCACGAAAUCAUGUAAGUGCGCCGCUAAAAGUAAGUAUGAGUGGCAACUAAAACCGCCACAAAAUCAAAUAACAGUUGCCGCUAAAAGUCAGUAUUCGUGGCAACAAAAACCGCCACUAAUUCCUAUUAAAGUCGCCGCUAAAAGAUUGUUUUAGCGGCAACCAAAACCGCCACUAAAUUAGAUGGGAGUCGCCGCAAAAGAAAGUAUUUGUGGCAAAAAAAACCGCCACUAAUUCCUAUUAAAGUCGCCGCUAAAAGUUUGUUUUAGUGGCAACUAAAUCCGCCAUUAAUAAAUAAACAGGUCGCCGCAAAAAGAAGGUAUUAGUGGCAACAAAAUCCACCACCAAAUCAAAUAACAGAUGCCGCUAAAAGAUAGUAUUUGUGGCAACUAAAACCGCCGCUAAAUCAUAUAAGAAUCAGUGCAAAAAGAAAGUAUUACUGGCAACAAAAUCUGCCACUAAAUCAAAUUACAGUUGCCGCUAAAAAUUUGUUUUAGCGGCAAUUAAAUCCGCUAUUAAUAAGAAUAAAUGGUGCCGCUAAAAGAUGAUAUUAGGCAACUAAAACCGCCACUAAAUUAUGUAAGAGUCGCUGCAAAAAGCAUUAGUGGCAACUAAAACCGCCACUAAAUCAGAUUACAAUUGCCACAUAGUAUUAGUGGCAACAAAAACUGUCACAGUAAGUACAACAUAAACCGCCACUAAAUAAUAUAAUAGUUGCCGCUUAAAGAUGUAUUAGUGGCAACAAAACCACCGCCGCAAUCAUAUAAGAAAUGCCGCUAAAAGUAAGUUUUAGUGGCAACGCUAAAAGUAAGUGUUAUUGGCAACAAAAUCUGCCACGAAAAGUUUGUUUUACCGGCAACUAAAUCCGCCACUAAAUCAAAUAACAGUUGCCGCUAAAAGAUAGCACUAGUAACUAGUGUAUAGUAUAUGUCGAGUCUGCUCCAGUUGUUUGUGUAUUUACUUCUCUAAAAGUAGCUAAUGUUGUAACACAACAAAGAACAAUUGGUUUGGUCAAUUGAUUAUAUAGCCUUUCCAUCGUUUUACCAAGAGAUUUUUAAUCACACAAGAAUUUUUCAAGAAGCUAUGUCAAACUAUUUCCUCUAUCUAUCUGAAUGUGUCUAAUAGAUAGAUUUAUUUACUAGUGUAAUGUAGCCAUUUUGGGACCAAACCUACUUUGGUAUAUUCUUGGGUCAUAUCACUCACAUUUUAACAAAGCCAUGGAUAGAAAAUUAAUUCGAUUUGAUCUGAAUAAUCCUGACCAAAACCAAAAUUGUUUAUCUAAGUAAAUCAAAGGUAAACAUGAGUAGGAGUUCAACUACACCAUAGAAACUGGCAAUUGCAUUUAAAGUGUUUGUUUUUAAGCUUCUGGCAAAAAAGAUGAGCGAGCAGUGGUCUUAGUCGUUUCUCCUCCUAUUGCUUGUGGGAGCGGGGGGUUGCUGUGAGAGGAUUUUCAAAACAUUCACCAAUGCCCGUAAACGAUCCCAGAUGUUCAAACCAUAAAGAGUGUGCACCAGAGACUCUUGGAACUCGAAUCCAUUCUCAGCAAUAGGAUACUGCAAAAAGAUGGGAGUAAAGUUUACUUAUAUGAUAUGAAAUGUAUGAAGGAAAACAUGGUUUCAGUAGAUGAGCAACUCACCUGAAUAGGCUUUGGUAUCUUGGUUUUAAUAAAUGGCCACCACCGGUCCUCCACAACUGACUUUACGAGACAGCAAGCUCGUAAUCCUUCAAUACCAGCAAAUCUUCCAAAUCCACUGUCUUUGACUCCACCAAAUGGCAAGGACUGCAUAUCAUUAUUCAGGAGAAAAUGUUAAAAGGGCCCAUUUUAAAAGGAGACAUGAAAGAAAGGGGUGCAGGGGAGGACAAAAGGCGUUAGACUGAAAAGCUGGAAGUUCCAAAAUUUUAAACAAAAGAGGGUUUUAAGAGGAUAAACAAUGUUGGACAAAGCAACUACAACAACAUACAGAGUGUAAUCCCACACAAUGGGGUAGGGGGAGGGUAGAGUGUACACAGACCUUACCUCCAUCCCAGAGGUAAAGAGGUUGUUUCCGAUAGACAAAGCAAUUGUUUAACGUAAAGAACUUAUGGUCUUUUUAGGUAGUUUGCCUUCAGAAGAGAGAUUUCAAGGUACAUGGCAAAGCUUCAGGACCAAUAACAGGCGCAGGAAGGUCAUGAGCAUCAGGAGUUGAGAAUGGGAGUGAGUCAUGAGUGGAAAGGUAGGGUAACUUUUGAUAGUGUUUCGCAACAGUUACUUCUGGCUGUAGAAGAGAGAAGGUAAGGAAGCUAAUUUCUAGCUCGUCAAAUUUGCAAAUGCGGACAUUUAAAGGCAGAAAGAGGAUCUUUUUUGUUCUCCUUUGAUGUAAAGGUUAAGAAAUAAUAAUUAGACCAUGUGAGAUCUGUAAAUUUCAAGCAGAUGCAACAAGGUAUUGUCUGAGGUUCACAAAAUUCUCUCCUAAUUUGUAUGCAUACCUCAAACAUCAUAGCAAUGGUCACAUAUAAGUAUGCCAAACUCUUUGAUAAAAUGUUUCAAGAGCCUAAUGCCUACAGGUACCUGACACAUGUAAUUUGAUGCGAAGUCAUUAAUAGCAGCCACUCCACAAUGUAAUUGUGAAGCUAUAUGCCUAGCACGACGCUGACUGCCUGAAAAUACAGCACAACCAAGCCCAUAGCUUGAAUCAUUUGCAAGCUGAACAACUUCUUCAUCAGAGCUGAAUUUCAUUAUCGGCAAUAUUGGUCCAAAAGCCUGCAAACAAAUUGUCAUAUGGAGUUAACCAUGCCACCUUCAUCUCAGUAGUAACUAAAAAGAUAAUCUAUCAACUGAUGAUACCUCCUCCUGCAUCAGUUUCAUUGUGUGAUUUACAUUAACAAUCACAGUAGGAGGGAAGUACUGAUCAACAGCACCUUCACCAAUAUUGCCUACACUUCCUCGAGCAACAAUUUCAGCACCUUUGUCUAGGGCAUCAUUUACUAGGUAUUGAAGCCUUUCAGAAUGCUCUUGCAUGCAUAUGGCUCCCAUGUCAUACUUGCCGGACAAAGGAGGUCCCUACAAUUAAAAAAAAACAGUUUAAAUAUAUAAGUAUUUUAGAAAUCAGACUACGCUAGCAAAAUCACAAAUUUCAAAGUCAUUAGUUUUCUGCUUAGGAUUCAGGCAAUCAUUGUGUAUUUAUCGCUCAAUUCUAGGCAAACUAAUGCUUCUACGGUUCACAAUUAUUAGCAAACCAGAAUUUAGAUAGGAUCAGUGAGCAAUCUAACAAAGAAACCAAAAAGGCACCAUGUGCAAAAUGCUAUGUUUCAUGAAAGAAUAAAGAUCUUAUAAUGCAUCGAGUUGAAAAUAUGACACAAAUGAGAAAAGUUACAUACAGCAGUAACCGAUUUCACAAUUUUGACUAUUUCAGCAACAAAAGAAGAGUAAACAUCCUUGUGAACAUAAAAGCGUUCUGCACCAGCACAAUUCUGCCCACUUGAUUGGAGAGCUCCUCUAGCAGCAAUUUGUGCAACCUGCAUCAAAUUUGAUUAGUUCUUUUAAAGACUCGUGAGAAACAGAUAGAGAUGAAUGAUCGUCUUUCUUUAACUUCUCAUAGAGCUAUUUAAAUGAUUUUCCAAUCACAGUUGAAAAGCAAACAAAUGUACUUGACACCCAAAAUGAAAGCAGACAGGAAAAGUUUAUACAUGCGGCACAUCAACAUCUUCACAGACAAUAAAUGCGUCUUUUCCACCAAGCUCAAGGGUAACUGGUAUCAGUGUAUUUGAAGCACUUCGCAUAAUCUGUAGAACACUAAGAGAACAUUAGAAUUUAUAAUUCAACAGAAAAGAAAAGAAAAGUUAGUAAAAGGUAUAGAGAAGAUGAAAAUGGAGGUUUUAAGUCACUCUGUAUUAGAUGAGAAAAUAUAAGCAUGUAUUCUAUGUUCAGGGAGAGCCUACCUUUUUGCCCACACCAGGAGAUCCAACAAAUAUGAUUUUGUCAACAGAGGAUACUAGUGCUUCUCCAGUUUCAGCAAAGCUGGCAAUGAAAUUUUAAAAUGUAAGACAAAUCAUACCAGAACAGAAAGGAUAAAUGUUGUAUAAUGCAUACCCUGUUAUCACUUCUACCAAGUUCUCAGGAGCUCCGACUGCAGCAAGAGCAGUUUGAAUUAUUCGCAGAUAGAAACACCCGGACCAACUGGCAUGUUCUGAGACCUAAGGUAACAAGGAGGUUAUCUCGUCAAAAGUCAAAACCACAGCUUUUUUAGCAGUUUGCUUCCAUGACGUUGUAUAUUUUGCAGCUUUAUUUAUGUGUGUAUAUUUUUAAGUUCAAGAUCUGAUAACUACAUUUAAGCAUGCUAAUCUCAAAUAUUUUCCAAUUGCAUUCCAUGUUAGUAAAGUUCAAUCCAUGAGCAAACAAGCAAUGUAGGAAGUUGGAAAAGAAAAAAGAAGACCUUUAUCACAAUGCUGUUCCCUGAGAAGACUGCAGCCAACAUUGGAUUAAAGAUAUUGUGAAAUGGGUAAUUCCAUGAAACAAUAGCACCAACAACACCAAAAGGAGAAAAUUCCACUUUUGCAACCUUGUGAAGCAUUGAUCUCCCACAUGAACUGCAAGCCACAACACACAACCAUAAAUUCCCUUUACUCCCAAGGUAUCAAAGGCAGAAACCAUGUAAGUUAUGAAUCCACUAUUUUAUUGAAAUGCAAGGAAGAUAAACCAUUUUCAUAACAUACCGGUAUUCAGGCUUUAGCCACUUUUCACCCUCUGAAAGAAGCCAAUGGAUUUUUUCACAUGUAGUCAUUAUUUCUCCCAAGGAGGCAUCUACCAUUGUUUUUCCAGUAUCACGCGAAGAGAUACUAGCAAAAGUUGUUCAGAGAAAUCAUCCAACCCAGUCAAAUGAAAAUAGGAAAAUAAGUAGCAGUUUAGCAUGAGUAAGAGGCAAUUCCAAUGCAAUUAACUCUUAAGACCAAAAUUAAAUGUUGUCAUAUGUGAGAGAGAGAAAUCGAACAAACGGUAGGCUUUCAUAAUCAUGAGAUUCUUCAGUUACUUUUGCACUUGUUUAUUUAUGAUAAGUGAAACUCUAUUAUAUCAUUAGUUAUGUUGCAAAUUUUUGGACAGAAAACUUUAAAGCAACCAACACUUGGAAAUAAGGUCACUGACAUAAAGUUCUUAGUAUAUGAUUGUGAAACGAAAUUAUGCCCAAUGGAACCGUUUAACCUCAAAAUGCUUAGUACUCCAACAAUCAUGUUUCAAAGCACUUUCAAUCUAUUGGAAGAAGAGUGUUCACGUCAGAGCUAGAAGAGUGGGAGGGAAUAAAAUAACAAUAGCUGCUACUUCUGUCUGCAGCUAUCUUCACCUAUUGAUUAAGACCUUCAAAGUAAAUCUCUUUUAUUUCUUCUUUCUAAAGACGAGGCUAAGCCAACUGCAAAAGUUGUCUCAACUAUCAGUCUCUCCCGAAACAUUUUACAGUGUUACACCAUAGUAGUGUAUAACUCAAUCACCGAGAACAUUUCAUUUGGACGUCCAACAAUAUUAGGUCAUAAUUUGUGUCUCUGUACAUAUAAUGUUAAAAAAACAUGGUCAACAAUUAACCAAAAGGAUCUUAAGCAUUUCAGUAUCAUUCAUUCUGCUCCUCGGACAUAAUUUAAUGUGUCAAUACUGUUGGCAGUGUAAAAUAGCAGUUUUAAAUGGUAAGUGUCCCUACUUGCAUAUAAGGUCUUGAUGUUCAAUAAUAUACUUCAGAAGUAUACGUAGAAACAGGCGUCUUUGCUUGAAGCUACUCUUUGCCCAUAUCUUCUGAGCUUUCCUUGCCUGUACAACCCGCUCCUUAACCUGAGCAUGAUUUAGUUUGUUAAUUACAUUUGGCUUGCAUGUAUAUAUCUCACAAAAGACCGUGUUGAUUCUGGUUUUAGGGGCGAAGAACAAGGAAAUUAAUAAGAUUGCAGAUGUGAGCUGGAAUCUUGUAUAUGUUUAUCAUGUAAAGGUUCUCAUGAUAAUAUGUGGCAGCAAAGAGAAACAGUUAACUGAAUGCCCAAUCAAUUCCUGAUAAGAUGACUAAGUAUCUUUAUGCAAAACUUCAUAAAAGAACUUUAGAUACUGAACGUCUGAACCAUGUAAACAAGGGAAGGAGGGAAAAGGAAAAGGAAAAAUUAGUCUAGUGCAUGACAGGAAAUCUUGACAUUUAGUAUAGGGGAACACAAAUAUCAUAUUUAUAUAAGAACAUAAAUCUGACCUCAUCAGGUUUCAGCGCCGGGAAAUAACCCAGGUACUUCAUUGUUGCUGGUUCAUAGCACUGAACUUUGUCUGUAUGCCUUCUCGAGGGAAUCUAAAUGAGCAAAAUUAAGUGUGACAAUAUACAAGUGUCACAUUCUUUCACUUUACGGAAUGAACCAUAUAAAGUUCCACAAAAAAUAAGAGAGCAAAGUCCAUUUGAACAACUAAACGGACAUACAUACUACAUGAAAUCACAAACUGUGUCAUCGGACUUGUUCUCCUAAAGAGAAAUGCUUUCUUGAUAGUGUAAGUGAGUUGGAAGCGAGAGGAACUACUCUCAGUAAGAUGUGAGUUGACAAACUACAUAAAACUCAUAUUCUUGGAUGGAAAUGUUUUUGCAGUAACUUUUAACGUUUGGUUAUCUCGAAUUUGAGACAAUGUUUUGUCGAAAAAGUUAGUUCCAUUGAGAGAAGAAAAUUGACUUAAUAAACUUAUGGAUGGAACUCAUUUUCUUUAAAUAAAAUAUCCCCAUUCUAAUCUUAGUUCCAUUGAGAGAAGAAAAUUGACUUCAUAAACUUGUGGAUGGAACUCAUUUUCUUUAAUAAAAUAUCCCCAUUCUAAUCUUCUUUGUAUGGUUGAAACAAGAGAUAUGUAGCAAGAAUGGGGAUAUUUGAGCUCAUUCAUUCUCAAAUAUCCCCAUUCUUGCUACAUAUCUCUUGCAUCAACCAUCAAUAAGGUAUUUUUGUCAAAAUUAAGAUACCACCAAAACACAAUCAUCACAUUCUCUCUCUUUUCUUUUCUUUUGUUUAAAAGGUUAUGUCUGGGCCAGCUUGUGCACAACUUGGUUAAUCCACCAUAUAUUUUCUACCUUCUCACAAGUACUAUACCAUGUAAACUCAAGCUACCAAGGUUUAAAAAGAUAAGAAUAAUUCAUCUAGCAUAGCUUAUGUUGGGACUUUCAAUCUUGCUUCCCAAGGUUGUCUCAACAGUUAGCUACCCCCUAGGGAGCAAUUCAAUCCUCAUACUCUAUCCACCACCUUGUAUGAUAAUAAUAAUAAUAAUAAUAAUAAUAAUAACAUCACCUGCUUUUUUACUCAAUUUGACAUCGUAAAAUGUUUAAGUAAAUGAUCACUAGUGUAUGAUUUCUAAUGUAAAACACUUUCCACAUACCUCUAAUGGAAAUUCAAAUUGUUUUCUGCAAUUCAGUAAAUAUCUAUAUUCUAUAGCUAAGAGCCUCUUCAUAAAGAAAGAUACUACUAAAUGAGAGUUGAUGAAAUCCAACUAGUGAAAUUUCAAACACAAAAAGGGAAAAAAAAAGAAGCAAAAACAAAACAAUUAAACAAAAACAAGCAAAAUACAAACUGAUACCAUCUACAGUUCAAAUCAACAUCAGAUAAAAGUACCAAAUUCCAUUUAAGCAAGUAGGAAUAUCAUUCAUUACUUACAUAAAUGAAGCUGUUGUCUUUAGCCUGAUUCCCAUCAUCCAACACUACAAUACCAAAAACAUUAUUAAACAACCAACAAUGUAAUAGAUUCAAGAAUAUCAACAAUGUAAUACCAUAAGGAGUACAAGUACAACAACACCAUACCGGGAGGGUAGAGUAUACACAUACCUUACCCCAACAAAAGUAGAGAGGUUAUUUCCAAUAGACCCUCAGCUCAAAGGGAACAAUAGUCCAAAGAAGUCUAAUACCACAAGGAGUAAAAAAAUAACAAAUCAUCUAUUCACUUUGUCCCAAUUUAUGUGACACCUUCUACUUUCCAAGAUUCAAACUAUGUCAACUUGACCAUCAUUUCAACAUGCACUUUUCAUCAUGAGAAGAAUGUCAACUUAUAUUAUCUAUUUUUUUCCAAAAUACUGAGCUGAUCUAAUCUAAAUUAGAUUAUACCAUAAGGAGUUAAUUUUUUGUUAAAUAAAUCAAUUAAUCUACACCUUCUACUUUCCGAAACUCAAACUAUGUCAACUUUAACCACCAUUUCAACAUGCAGUUUUCAUCAUGAUAAAUUUUAAUUCUAAAAUACUGAGUUCAUCUAAUCUAUUCUAGUUUAGCUUCGAUAAGCUAAAAAUGUAACAUAAAUUGGAACUGAAUAAAUUACUACUACAACAUUACAUUUCAAAUAAGCAAUUUAAAAGUAGUUCAAACAGCAAAAUACAUAUGGAAGCUUACCAUCAGAAGUGUCGACAUCAAUGGAAGGGACAUUGUCAGGAAUGAGCAUCAACAGUAAUUUACAGAUCGCAAAUGCGAUAGCGAUAACAAUCAACGGCCACCAGAACGCCAUUAGAAGGUUUCUAGAAGCUUCGAAGAAGACUAAUUAGGGUUUUUCACACAACUCUUAGAAGGAAUUUGAAGGAAUCGCCAUAGCCAUAAGAGAGAAGAGAGAUUCUGAGUUCCUCGUAGACGUCGCUUUUUCAGUCUUCUAUUAAAUAAAUAAAUAAAAAUCAGUGGCGGUCUAAAAGUCGAUUUGCACACAUUUUAAAUAUUGAUAUAUUUUUUAUGGCUGGUUUGGCCGAUUGUACUGUUUAACUUGACUUUAUUUCAUAGCGUGGGAACAAAUAGACAUCUACGACUUUAUUUUAUAGCGCUUGAACAAAUAGAUAUAUACGACUUUAUUUCAUAACGUGUGAACAAAUAGACAUAUACGUCCAGUGUUUUAAAAGACUCUGUUGAAACUCGUCUCAGGGCUCGUUCUGGGGCGGGGCUCUAGCAAAACGCCUCGAGACUCAAAUGUGAGACUUACAUCGGAAUAAAAAUAAACUGCAAAAGCAACUAAGGAAAGUAGCAUUGAUGGAAUGGGGGAUCACACCUUCAGCGGAGAAAUAAGGUGACCAACCCUAACCCUUCAUUCUAUUCCAUAAAGCCUUGGUUUGUAAGACUUACACUCUAAGCGCCCGACUGUAUGCCCUAAGCACGCCCAACGCCCAACGCUCGAGGCUCGCCUUAUAGAUCUUACACAAAUUAUGUGCUAGAAACUUUAGUUAACAUUGUUGACCCUCAUAAUUCUUAAAUAAAUUAAUGAUACUUUAAAAAAAAAUUAAUCUAUAGAGAUAUGAAGAUCGAGAGUAAUUCAAAUAACAAGUUGUAGCAUCGCAUCUUUACUAUUUACACUGUGAAGGUGAUGAUUUAGUACGUAACAUUUUUUUUAAAAAUACGUAGCGAAAUUUUACUUUUCCACUUAUCAUUGGUCUUCAUGGUUUUGUCAUAUGUCUCAAAAUUAUCAUAUUUUAUUUAGCUAUUUGAAAGUGAUUUUAUUUUUUUCAUGAUGGAGUGAUGUUUUUAUUAUAAUAGUAGUAAGUUUUAUUGAUUAUUUUCUUCUUCUUUUUUUUUUGGAGGGGGGAAGGGGAGGGGUAAGGUAAAUCAUAUAGUAUGAUAAAAAUAAUUUUAGAAAUAAAGAUUCUUUUAUUAUAAAAAUUUAAGAUAUUAGAUUAUUUAUACUUGUAUAAUCAUGUUAGAAGUUUUAUUUUCUAUGAGUUUUCUUAAUCAUGUUUGUAAUUAUUUCAAACUAUUGAUAUUUUUUUUAUAAUUUCGUGUUAUUAUAUUAUUAUAUUAUAUUGUAAAUUGAAAUUUAAAGAUCCAUAGGGCUUACGCCUCGCCCUAUACUAAGUAAAAUGCCCCGCCUCACGCCCCCUCCUUUUAAAACACUGUAAACGUCCUACGUGACAUAAUCUAUGUAGGACAAUUAUAUUGUUUCAUUUUGGCAUAAAACAUAAAUAUGAUAUUUAACUGGAUUUCAUCUCACAUCUAUGUCCUUCAAUUUUUGGUGUGCACAAGUACACACUUAAACUUAUAAAGUUGAACGAAUAGACACAUGUCUUACGUGACAUAAUACACGUAGAACAAUUUGCAUCCUAUGUGGAUUAUGUUAUAUGUGAUGUGUGUAUUUAUUUGUUCGACUUUAUACAAAUUCAAGUGUCUACUUGUGAUUAUUCAAAAUUGAAGGACGUAGAUAUUAGUGUAUAUCUAUAUGCUUCACUAAUGAUCACUACGGGUUAAAUGGAAAUUCGGUGCAUAUAAUAUUUGUGUUUGUUGGGUUCGGAAAAGAGUCGCAUUCCGAAAAGUGUGUUAUAGAUAUUCUAUCCUAAUACAAACAUUAAUGACUAUUUCCAUAACUUAUAUCCAUAACCUACAGGUCAGAAACAAUUUUACCAUUACUCCAAAUCUCCUCGAUACAUGUUAGGAAAGGUAAAUUUCAGCAGAGCAUUGUCAGAAUCUAAGAAUGUUUAUAUUCUUUUGGUAAUACUCAAAUAUUAUUGUAAAAUAUUCCUAUAUUCUCAUAAAAGUAAUUAAUACAUAGUUUUUCUUUGCCAACAAUACUUUGCUUUCUGACAAAACAAUGCUUCUCUCAAAAUAAAGUAAACAAAUUAUGACUUCUCCUACAUGUUCAACUCAUGAAAAGAUACAAGUUUCUCUCAUGUUAUACACAUUUAUAACACCUAUCAAUCAUCAAAUAUUUCUACAUUUUAUGGUUUUUGUCAUCAACAACAUAUUCUGAUUUGCAUUCAUCUGGUAACUUCAUUUCACCUCUUACAUCCUAUAGACGUAGCGGAUUAUAAUAAGCAGAAUGCACUGACUCUGAAUCUUGAAUUUGUCCUUGCUUAGCGCGAUUGUUGGAGGUGAAGUAGUACAAAUUUGAGGUUUUUGACUUAUUUUUUUUCUUGUUUUUGCAGUCAUUUAAAAAGUUUAAUGAAGUAAGGCUUUUGGAGGCUUUGGAGGGAGCCAAUUCUACUCAUGUCUCAAGGAAAGAUGAAGGAAGGAGAUAUAUCUUACACAAAUGUCAAGAGAAAUGAUGAUGUAUUACGCGAUAUCGUGCAAGAAGAAGAAGAUCUUGCACAAUCAAUUGAUGAAAAGAUGAAAAAUGUCUCAAGUUUUCGACGUUUCAACAGAGUUCCUCAAGAACUUAAAAAGGGAAGUGAAUAUAGUUACUCUCCUAAAUUAGUCUCAAUAGGUCCUUUUCAUCAUGGAGUUGAUAACCUUAAAACUAUGGAGGAACAUAAGUGGUGUUAUCUCAACACACUUGUUAGUAGAAAACCAAUAAACACACAAACCAUUUUAGAUAAUUGUGUGAAAACACUUAGAAAUUUAGAGGAUAAAGCAAGAAAAUGCUAUAGUGAAAACACAUUUGAACAAAUUGGAAGUAAUGAGUUUGUUCAAAUGAUGUUACUUGAUAGUUGUUUUCUCAUUGAGCUCUUUAUCAAGUUUGUUAUAAAGGGUUUUCGACGUAGAGAUGAUAUACUCUUUAUCAACUAUGACAUGUUUUUCCGUCUUAGAUGUGACUUGAUUCUACUCGAAAAUCAGAUCCCAUUCUUUAUCCUUCACCAAAUGUUUCACUUAGUUCCAAUUCCUAAAGAAUGUACUUACUCCCUCAUGCAACUUGCUUUACUCUUCUUUAGAAAACUGAUUCCUGGUGAUGGACUUGUAACUAUAGAGAAAUUUGGUCCUAAUGUUCACCAUAUACUGGACUUGAUUCAUCAUUGUUAUCUUCCAACGAGUCCACAAGUUCACUCAAAUGGAACACAAAAACAUAUGCAUAAUGUGUUACAUCUUCAUGAUGUAGGGAUUAAGUUCAAGAAAGCAAUAAGUGAUAGUGUCAUGAAUGUAAGAUUCACUAAAGACAGAGUUUUGGAAAUUCCAUCAUUGAAAAUACAUAGCUACUCUGAGAUUUUGUUCAAGAAUAUGGUGGCAUUGGAGCAAUGUGGAACCUUUAGAAGUGGAGCAAAGCACGUUGCGUCUUACGUUUACCUCAUGAAAAGUCUUGUAAGGUCUGCAGAUGAUGCAAGUUAUUUGACAGAGAGAGAGAUUUUGGAUAGCAGUUUGUAUAAUGAUGAUGAGAUUUUUCAACUGAUGAUGAGGCUUCAUGUGGAGUUUGAUGUCAAGGAUUUUUAUUAUAGUGGACUUUGUGAGAAAGUUAAUGGAUAUAAGAAGAAAAAUAAGUGGAAAAAAUGCAGCCAGAAAAUUAGCAAUGUAUAUAAGAAGACUGCCAAAGGAAUUUCAUGCUAACAUUUGUUUUUCUUUCGUAGUUUUGUGUUUUUGCUGCAAUUUUAGUUUCUUUUGUUUGCAUUUUUACUGCACUAUGCUUGAGAAAUUAUUAUAUGGAGAUGCGGAAUUAUAUCUAUACAUGCUUGUUUGUUUUAUUACUGUAUUCAAAGUCAAAACUUUACUGUACCUCUUUGUAACUACGUCAUUUGUCCGUAUAUGUUUUGGCCUUUUCUUGUUGUUGCUUCUGCUUGUUAUUGUUGCAUCCUUUUCGUUUUUCGUUCAGAGGGCCUAUCGAAAACAAUCACUCUACCUUCUCAAAGGUAAGUACUACUCUACCCUCCCUAGACACUAAAUUUAUUGUUGUUGUUACAGCAAAAGAACAUAUAAUAUAGCAUAACAUAAAAAACGGUUCAUUAAAAAACUUGACCAUUAUACGAAAAUGUAGUUAGAUAUGGAAGAUUGUUAUAGAGAAAUCUGAUUGUAUUACUCUUUUACUUGAACAUACAUAUAUGGUUUUGAGUAUUAAGAAUAAAGAAACCAAUCAAUGUCAAACUGAAUUUCUUUGCUUCAUCUCAACUUCUUCACAUCUCAGAGAAAAGACGAUUGUUUUUCUAUACAAUAACACUAAGAAAAUAACAUCUGGUAAAUCAUGUUUACACAUUGGACAAUCUUUAUAAUCGAUGUCACAAUAGCAAAAGGAUAAAUAUACUACAUUUUUUCUGCAUAAGUUGGCUGAAAGCGAAGUAAAUUGCCCCUGUCGAACUCCAUAACUACUGCUGGCAGAUUUAUGAUUCAUCCAUAAAGACAGCGCCGUGUCCAUUAGCUUUCAUGAAUUUCUUAAUCAGAAGUGCAAGUAUAGCAAUUGUAAGUCCAACUGCUGCCCAUGUGAAGAAACGGUCAUCAGCCUGCCUCGGAAUGCUCUGUUGAGGUGUAUGCAAUAUUCGAUGCUCAUUAGGCCGUACAGCAGGGGGCUCUAUAGGUGCAUGUACAGGAUCAGCAUCUAAAGCCAAUUCACGUCUUUCUUCAGUAGUUGUGUCAGCAACAGAUGGAUUAGGACGUCUUUCUUCAGUAGCCUCAUUGCUGGGGUUCUCAGGACUCUCUUGAACCCCGUCCUCUCUAUUACUGUUCUGUUCUUCAGGAGCUGGUGAGGUAGUAGCUUGAGGAACUGGUGGUGCUUUGCUUAGCAUGUAAUCAUGUAUCUAUAAAAUAAACCAACUAUUAAUUCUCAUGCCCACAGAUAACAACAUAUUGGCUGUCAAAAUGAUAUUCAGAUAAUGCUAUACCUCGUCAAUCAGCUUCUGGCGCUCAGGAAUCCCAUAUCUUGGAGCCACAUCACGAGAUUUAAUAGCUAAAACACGCCUUUCUUCCUUUGUGUAUUCUAGUGAUCCAAGGGCACCAUUUGGGCUGGUAGGCAUAAAUGCGAUCAGAGCUACCAGCGCAGUGCGAACUGCAAAUCAAAAGUAAAACAAUUAAAUACAGGUUAGCUUCAGAAGCUGUGCACCUGCCAAAACAUGGGAAACAGCAUCCAUUAAUUCAGAAAACUAUACCACACAGUAGCUUGAUCCACCGAAAAAUGCUCCUCUCUAGUCAAUACAACUAAGGAAUAAUAAUUGCAAAAAAAGGUUGCUCACACUUCACUUUUUUAUUUGAAAUUUUUGCCUACUACAGUGUCUGCAUUUUUGUUUUGCUCAAGUACAGUACACCAGCAGCCAUUAUAAAAAAGUUUAGCGCACGUAUUCAAUCAUAUCUUCUAUCUUUUACAUCCAUCAACACAACCUCAUGCUAUAUUUCAAUAACAUAGACUCAGCUAAAUACAGCCACAAGUUAAAAGCAAUGGAGCAUAUAAUUUUCGAGGGAAAUUUCCAACUCAUGCAGAUGAAGAUAUCUUUUGAUGUCCUAAUAUGUCAUUGCCUAAAAUUUGCAACAAGAGGAACUGUUCUAUUGCUUUCAUGUAAACAGGGUAUCUGUCAAUAUAUCCCAAGAAAAGAACACUAAGACAACAAUAUGAAAGUGAAAUUCAUCAAAAUAUAACACAUAGGGAAAAAUGGUAAGAGAGAAUGAUGAAGUUACCACUCCAUGACGGUUGCCAGUGCUCAGGAUGAUGAUUAGAAAUACUCAAACAAAUCUUGGUUUGCGUUUCAAAACGUCCAUUUGGCUGAAAAGAGCAAAACCAUGAGUUAGCAGAUUAUUAAUAUUAAACAUGAAAUGAAUCAACUCUAAACCUAGAUGGUAAUGGAAUUUGGCUUCUCCUGUUUGUAGCCUGACCCAUCCACAAAACAGACUCCCUUUUGCACCACCACCCCCAUUAAUCCCAUCUAUUCUCUUUCAGUUUGUUAAUCCGCGUACCUUUUGUUUUCCUUUUCCAAACUUUUUCGCUACCCUCCUGAACGAAUUUGUGUAGCGGGGGAGGGGGGGCUUGGGUCACACCUCAAAACUUAUUCAAGAUUUGCACAUGGGGCAAAGCAACGACUUCCUUCAGACUCUUGAGUCAGAUCUUAUCGUAUGGUAAAAAAUUUCCUAAGAUUUGCCGACUUUCCACUUGAAUUAGGAAUCUCUUAGCCUCUUUUUUCCCAUGAUACCUUUUUUUAUCCCUUUUUUUCACAUCAAAACUUAUUAGCACCCUGCCCGGCCCAAUCUGUAAAGUCUGCUUGUGGCAGGAUGGGGUUUGACCAACAACGCUCGCCCUAUUUUAAUUAAUAAACCUUGUUCCAUAAAAUGACUCAAGGAGUAAUACAAGCUUUUAAAAUAGAAAGUAACUCACUGUCAAAAGCAUGAAAGAAGGAGGCUUGAAAGGAUAUUCGGCAGGUAACUGGAUUCGCCCAUGAUAAAUCCCCCCUUCAAACUCAGAAUCUCGUGGACCCCUGAUUGCAAAUUGCCAUUCAAAUAUGUUCUCCUGAAAAAGUAAUAUAAAGUUCAGUUUCAAAUUGCUGUGUCGUUGUGCAACUUCUAGAAUUAAAAAUAACUUGUAAAUGGAAGACAACCAGUCAUUUAUCAACAGAAUUUCAUGCAAGACGCAACCUUUUGAAAGUUAUAUCGACAGAAUCAAUUAUGAUGAAAUUCAUUUACCAGUGAUGGAUUCAAGAUCAUAUAUACACAUGUUACCUCAUAGGAAUAGAAGGAAAAUGCCCAAAAAUCAAAUCUUGACCAUGUAUAUCAUAACACCACAUAGACAUCACACAGAGAGCUAGAAGAGCACAUAGAUCAUUCAUUGUUAGUGAGGUUUAUUCUUCAGCAGGAUCAACUAAUAUCCUUGACAUAUGAACUUAGAUCAUAAAACUUUAUCGAAGCUUAAGAGUUUUAUAUCAUGAGCAUUCUUAUAUAGAACCACUAUCAUAUUAAAUACUAGAAAUCAAUGGUUGCUGCCUUGUCCAAUUUUCAAUUUAUUUUAUUUUGUCAGCAGUAAAUACAGCAAACAAGUUUUUGCCAAACAAUUUCAAAUUAUAAAACUUGUACAUCCAUGCAGGAAAAAUUGCAUCAAGGAAACAGCUGCCCUACCAAUGCAGUAAACCAUCACUUCCAUAGCAAACAAAUACACACACGCCUCCCCACCCCUCGCGACAAAGCAAAUUAGCUAUAUCCUCUUACCUUGAAUACCAACUAACCACACACCCUAUUUAUAUCUACACUCAUACAAGCAGACAAAUUCUCCAAUGUAUUGGACACUUCUUGCUUAUCCCAGUAUAUUUGACUAACUUUCAAAUGGAUCCAGUAAAUUUACUUACAUCCACUUGUUUCACAAUUUUAGCUCAUGUCAAGUGAAUUAGACUAAUUUUCAUAGCCAAAUCAAACUACAUUAAUCCUCAAUUCUGAAAAUUAACACAUAUAAUUUGCAAUUCACCUAAAAAGUUAAUCUUUUUAAUAAAUUUGAAUCUCACAAAGCAAAAAAUGCACCACAUUAAAAUUCUAGAUCCAAACAGAUAAAACAUGAAAGGAUAAGAUCGAUUUCAUAAGAAAAAAAAGGAAAAUUAAGCAAUUAAAUUGAAACCUCAAGAGGAAGGCUCAUGAAAUCAUCGGAAGGGUUUGAUUGCAUCUCUUUAACCUCCUGUAAGAUUCUCUUCACCGCUGGAUUUUUCAGAUUAUACUUGUCUUCCGCCAUAUCUGUUACUCAGAGCCGCUGCCGCUGCCGUCGCCGCCGUCUCUGGUCACCGUAAACCCACAGCCGGUCAAAAAGUAGCACCGAUAAUGAUGAAUAUGAAGAAAAAAAUUGGUGGGUGAGAAUAUAAUAAAUAUAAAGAAAGUGAAGAUGGCGGGUGACGCGUCAUCACUAUGACGUGGCGACUAAUUAUUGGAUAAAAUGACAAAAUCUUAAUGAAUUGUUUUAGUAUAAUAAUAAUUCAUGAUUAUGAAAAGAUUAAUAUAUUGACUAGAAGGGAUGGAUUUAUAGCUUACCGCUCACGCUUAUCGAAGUUAUGCUCGAAAACUUCGUCUAAGGAAUAUUAUAGAGAGAAUUUUAUUUAUAGCUUACCCCUCACGCUUAUCGAAGUUAUGCUCAAAAACUUCGUCUAAGGAAUAUUAUAGAGAGAAUUUUUUGUGUUACGAUAAAUUAUUUUAUACCAAUUGAGUUGUUAGAGGCUUCUUCAACGUGACAGUUAAGUACUAUAUUGUAGAUUACCCUAACUUACUUUUCCCUUACUAGGAUUGACUCUUUAUAAUUCUCAAUUUAGUAUUUAUGAUAGAAGAAAAUUGAACAAAUUUCAUGACAUUUACGAUUGAAAAUUUUGAAACAUUACUUGAAAAGCAUAGUCGCAAACUAUCGAAUAUCAAUCAUUAUUCCUUAAAAGGCGUGUAAACUUGAUUAAAAGAUUCAAGAUCCCAUUAGUUGAAAUGCAAAGUAUGAAACACAUGAUGUUGAAUUCUCAAAUUGGGGACUUGUAAUCUUGUUUCCUAUGGGUAAGCCUCGAAAAGAGGAAUGGGACACAAAAAGACAAACUUGUGGAGAACUUCACCAUCUAGAAAAAGUAGUCUUCUAAAACUCCAAAAAAUAAUUUAAAAAGAUGUAGCUAUCCAAAAACAUUAAUAUUGACCCUUUUAGUGUGAGACUAAAAAAACACCAAUGACCAAAAUCAACCAACACAUCUCCAUCAUGUUUUACUACACAAGAAAGAAAGAAAUUAAGCAACCAAGAGAGAGGCAUGGAAAAAAGGGCAAAACCUUAAACAACAUUGCAUAGUCAUACAAGUUAAGUCUGAAAAGAAUGAGAUGUAUGCAAAUCUUAUUUUUAUCUUUACGGGCUAAAAAAGUUUCAAAAAAGGCAAAAACUUUACCUACACAUAGUGAAGUUCUAGUUCUCUGUCCUAAUUCAUUCUUUCAAAUAAGUAACUAAAAACCUUGAAGUUGUUGAGGUACAACGUCGUUCCAGUAUGAUCCCACAAGUGAGAUCUACUAGAUACACAAAUCUUAUUUCUACCUUGUGUGAGGCAAAAGAUGUUUCCGAUAAACCCUAGGUACAAGAGAAGUGUUUUCAAAAACAGGUUUGACAAAUACAAAAUAAAGUCAUGGUGAAAAUACUAUAGAAAGUUGUUGAGAUACAAAAGAGAGAAAACCCACUGGACUUGAUAUGUAGAGUAGCAAAGAGAUUGGGGGGGGGAGGAAGCCAAGUGAGCUACCACUGUAAAUCUAAUGUACAUAUAUGCAGUAAAUGUUAAUUGUCCCACUCAAAUUUUAAUAUACAAUUAAGCAACAUUGAAACAGAAAAUUUGGCCUCAAGCAACACUGACCUCUCUAAAUUGAAGAAUAAACUUUUCAAGGGCAAAAGUUGGUGCCCAUACAUUGCAUACAAGUGCACAUAACUAAGGAAAGUGAAGAUGGAGUUGGGGGUAGAGAUGAAACCAAAGAAUAGGAGUAACCAAAAUUCUAUAGCUAUGUAAUGUUUUACAGGAGCAAUUGGAAAUGCUAAACGAAAGAGAAAACUCAAGACGGUGGCUAAUCUCUCCCCACGCUUGUAACAACACUGUACAGACUCCCCUCCACCAAUAGUUACGAAAUUCAACAAUCGAAUUGCCUGUUAGAUCAUCACUCAUGUCGAAGUUGUACAGAGGUGUCAUUUGAAGCAAAGCACAUGCUCAAGCAAUAUCUUAUAAAUCAUUGUAGGAGUCAAAAUGCCAUGAUGAUCUCAAAAGAGUCAUGAUCCAUUUACAGCCAUUUCAGGUGAUGAUUUUGGAGGUAUUAAUGGAUAAUCCUCUCCUCUCUGCCUAUUAUCAGGAGAAGUGUGCAUGCUCUCAGAAUAACUUUUAGGACCAUUUGGUUCUCGGUGGUCAUGAUUAUCCAAAUCAGCACUCCCAUUAUCAGUAGGAUUCCCUUUCUCCUCGUGGUUGGACUCGACAGAUUUCUCAUCCCCAUCUGAGCAUGGACCAUCUUGUACUGUACUAUCCAUCUUUUUAGAGGGUAAAACUGCUUGACUUAAGGUUGAGCAUAAAGCAGCAAAAACACUGUCUCGAGACUUUGAACCUUUAGCAAUACGCUGCAACCUUUUUGGCUCAGGCUCUUCUUUCUGCAACAGCUUACGUUUCAACGGGAAAGACUCCACUGACCCAUCUACAUCAGAAUUAUCUGACUGCUUCCUAGGUGGUGGCUUAUAAUCUUCAUCCUCAUCAUCAUCAUAAUCAACAAGCCCCCCAGAUCUAAAGAACAGGAGUCUCAAAAUAUGUUCCCUUAGUUUAAUAAAUCCAGAUUCCAGCAGUAACAGUUACUUACCUCACAGGUGAGACGCUUGGAGCAGAUCCAUUAGGCAAGGCCGGCUGAGACUGCACUCUACUUGCAUUAGUCACGAAUGCUGAGGCAGAAUCUUCCUCGUCACUGAAGGAUACACAUAUUCAGUGUACCAUAUAUAACAUUUUUACAUGCAAAAAAGUAAAGGCAUACCUCUCUUCAUUGAAAUAUUCUUCUUCUUCUUUCUCUAAACCACGGUCAUCAACUCGUUUCCUAGGGUCGUCUAAUAGAUUACCGAUACUUCUCGUUCCUGCACUGUCUAGAGACUACAAAAGACCCAAAACCAUUAUGAGAGCCAAGCAUCACUAUCAAGAGUGUAAUGGUGAACAACAGGCCCAAUGAAUAAUACCUGCUCAUAUUUAAUUUUCAAUGAGUGGAUCGAUGUCAACUUUUCAAACUUGACCAGUUCAUCCCAGAAUGAGUCGACUAAAUACUUGAGCAAUAUCUUCAAGUUAUCCUGCAUUAUAUCAUGUCAGAUCCUAAGAAAUAAAGAAGCCAUGUCACAUUUAACUUUUGCAGUCUAAGCAGGUCAAGGAAGUAAGAUGCAACCUUACGAAUAUGCUCAAAAAGUUCAAGAACAGCUGAGUUUAGAAGAUUGUAGCGAUCUCCAUUAGCAACAAAGACAUCAACAACAGGUUUUAGGAGAUUGUGCUCUGCUAUGUAGUUCAUCAAAUUCUCAUCCUGCAGUUCGUAGUCAGAAGAAUUUUAAUAUAUUCACAAAUAUACAGAAGGGAAACACUCGAUGAUGAACAUAAAAAUAUACUUCACAGUUCAGUCUGCCAAAUUUGUAGCUUAUUGGCGGACAUGUGAAAUGACAUAAGAAGAAGAGAGAAAAACUCUAGCCGAAAUUGAUUGGUUAUACAUGAAAAGAUGAAAAUUGACUCAUGGUUAACCAUGUUUUUGUGUACGUAAUUUGCAUCUCCUUGAUGACUUUCUAAUACAACAUCUUACUUCAUAAAAAAAAAAAAACUCAAUCAUAGUGAACUUACUUCAAACCUACUACUCUAUCUCAUAAGUUCUGGUUACCAGGGAUUUUAGUACAUAUAAACUUAAUUGAUGCACAUAAAAUCGCAGGGUAGAGGAUUUAAUUAGAGGGUGAAAAUUUAUCUGUGCUGCUAGAAGAGCUUCAUCAUCUUACUUUUACAAAUUUUUGUUGCACAAAAUCUUACAUAAUAUCAAAAAGUUAAUUACUAGAUCGAAGUUUGGAUUUGAUUCUUAAUUUUGAUCACCCCUAUUCUACGCCUCAGUGGACUCUAGGAGUCUAAGGCGGUGUUUGGAUUAGCUUAUUCAUAGGUACUUUUGGCUUUUAAGCACUUUUUUGGUUUUAGAGGUGUUUGGAAAAGUUGAAAAGUGCUUUUAAGCACUCACCUUUAGGCCAAAAAAGUUCAAAAAUAAGCCAAAAGUAGGGCAUCCCCUACUUAUGGCUUUUAGCUUUUGACUUAUAAGUUGCUUUUUAUAAGCUUAUCCAAACAGGGCACUAAAGUACUUCAAGUCUUUCCAGUUUUACCUAGUUAUUAUAAGAUAAAAACCUGCAUAAGAUAGGGUCAUUAAAAAAAAACUUGCAUAAGAUAGCUACCAGUUUCAUUCAACAUUAACCAAGUCUCUUGGGCAAUCAUGAACUCAUGAAUCACCACAAGACAAACAGAACAAGACAGAAAUAAGGAGGAUCACUAAAAGAAAAAUUACAGGCCCAUCUACAGUGCUAUGCGAAAAGCCUUUUAUUUUAAUGACCCAGACAUUCCCUGCAAAAUUAGCUGGCCCGAUCCCAGUUGGAGCACAAGUUCGAACUCAUGACAUGCGCCUACCAUGUAUACCACGCUAUACUUCAUUUAUCGUUUGACCAAGGGCCAAGGCCUUGGGGGCUACUUAUAUUAAAACAUGUAAGAGCAUUUAACGGGGUAAAACAUUCACCAUAGAGGACAAAUAAAUCAAAACUUGAUCAAUUCAGUCAUGUCCACAGACAACACUCUCUUGCUUAAUAAAAGUAACAACUCACAUUGCGGGAAAUAAGAGUUCUCAUAAAUCUAACAGCAGCAACUACCAGGUACUUCUCUCUUCUUCGAGUAAGAAACAGAACUUUAUCUAUCACAUUAUUAAGAAGAAAGUUGCACCUGAAACACAGAAAAGAUAUCCACAUUAAACCAAAUAAUCAAAUUUAGCAUUUAAGAACCAAGUAAUUCCAUACCAAGAUGAGAAGAUUACUUUAUUCUGUAAGGAUGGUGCACAAUACAAAAACAUAGGAGAUCACAAAUAUUUAGUAGUAUUUCAGGCUUGACACUACUUUGCUUUCCAGUCCCUCCAUCAAAACUCUCAGAGUUACUGACAGCUUGGGUGAUACCAUCCGUCGGGCAAGAUGAUGUUAUAACAUCAAUGAGUUGACUUAGGUGCUUCUCGUAGAAGAUUUCAACAAUGUUCUCUUUCUGGAACAAAAUUAAAAGAAAAUAAUAAAAACAAGACUUCAAAAUAGUUGUUGAAAUGUAAGAACAAUAAGAUGAGAGACCCUUUUAUUUAUUUUUUAUGUAUCGAACACAUUGUGCGGAAGGGGGGAUCUUUGCAAAGCCAAGAACCCAAAAAUUUCAUUUCAUAAUAACGGAUUGUGAAAUGUAAACUCAGAAUCUCUGCAUACUCUGAUGCCAUGUGGAUUAUGUGAACCACCUCAUCAAAGAACUUGUGCAAUUAAAGAGGAGACACGUGCAUUUUCUUUGUUUUUUUCUCAAACAAUAGCAAUCGAAUACUUCAAAAAGCAAUUAAGUCACAAAAAAAACUAAUCCCCAUCCCAAAGCACAAGGGAAUCAAAUUGGAGAUGCUUUGUUUUUCGAUAACCGGAAAAUCUGUUGCUUCUAGUUUUGAAACUAGGUGAACAAUGGGUAAACUCCUUAACCUUUUCCAUUUAACUGCCAAACUUGAUCCAGAGCAGGAUUAAAGCUCAUUGUGUGUGCCUGCCACAUAUCCUGUGUUGUGCACCUUUGCCCUUGAACCGAAGCCCUGGGUAAUCAAGUUUGCAGAUGCUGAACCGCCUAAAAUAGUAGUGCCUCCACAGGCAGAUACUAAACCACCUAUAGCAGUAAUGCCUCUACAAGUUCAAAUUUCCCAUAGGUAUAUCUUUAGAACUUCAGAAAGGAGAGAAAAUAUGGUACCACACAUCAAAAUCAAGAAAAGGAAAUACAAUAAUGAAGAAACCAUAGAGAAAAUAAAGGAGAAAAGAACAGUAGCAACAACAAAUAAUACGAUAACCGAAGCAUAGGAAACAACAAGUAUAAAUAAAAUUGAAGCAUAGGGUAGUGGGAGAGUACUAAUAAUAAUACUAAUAAGGGACCUACUAACCUUCUACCAUAAUCCUUGACUUCCAUAUCCUCCUAUCUAGAGUCAUGUUCUCAGUAAGCUGCAUGUGUGCCAUGUCAACUAAUCACCUCUCCCUAAUUCAUUUUCGGCCUACAUCUACCUCUCCUAAUACCCACCAUAGCUAUCUCCUCACUGGGGCAUUGCGCGUCUCCUCUACCCAUGCUCAAACCAUCUCAGCCUUGCCUCCUCAUCUUGUCCACCACGGAGGCCACACCCACCUUGUGCCAAAUAUCUUUGUUCCUAAUCCUAUCUCUCCUAGUAUGCCCACACAUACAUCUAGGGAACAAGCAGUAGACGUGAUCAGAAUAUUGUAAUGCAGUAACUCCACUUAGACAGGUCAGAUAUUAUCAGUAUCUAGGGAACAAGCAGUAGACGUGAUCAGAAUAUUGUAAGGCAGUAACUCCACUUAGACAGGUCAGAUAUUAUCAGUAACAAACAGUGUAAUCCCACAAGUGGAGGUCAGAUAUUAUCAGUCCGAAAUAGAAUUUGUUAAAGAUCACUCACCAUCACUAUACUUGGGAAGACAUAAGAGAAAAUGCUAGAUCCAUAAGGAAAAAAGUACAUUGAACAUUAUGUUCGAAGUGCCAACCCCGUCAUUAACUUGACCACCCAGAUUUUUUUGGACAAGGUACUAAAAUUUAACUACCCGGAAAAAAUAAAAAGCUAGAACUGUCGUGGCAAAACCAGAAAAGCUAUAAGCAAAGCACCUGUGAUCCUGAUGCAUAUGAAUCCAAGAGACUGCGCAGAAUUUCAAGAAAUUGGCAAUGCAUAUCAUCCUCAAAAUCUGUUAGCAUACCUUUGACCUGCAAAUUUGAAGCAUGCUAUUACUUACUUCGAGUACCUUCCAUGGUGGCACUAAAAUUAACAAAUAUGGUCUAAGCCACAAAGGACAUGUCUUUCUGCUAAAAUUACAAAAAUAUCCAGCAUAGGAAACAGAAAACAUCAAAAAAAUGAGAAAUGGAGGAAAGACCAAAUACUUCUCCAGCACCAUUUGAUAGUAACAUAAAGCCAAGAAAAAAGAAGAUGUGUACUAAAAUUAACAAAUAUGGUCUAAGCCACUACAAGGACUUGUCUUUCUGCUAGAAUUACAAAAACAUACAGCAUAAGGAAACAGGAAAUGUCCAAAAAGAUGAGAAAUGGAGGAGAGACCAACCACUUAUCCAAUUAUUUAUAUCAUGAAUCAAGCACCGCAUUCACAGCAUAGAAUAACUGACCAUUCAUACAUGACAGAAGAUGCCUCAGAAGAACAUGUUGGAGGGGGCAGGCAUUAGAUAUCAAAACGCAUAUAUUGAAGCACAUCAUUGCAAAAAUAAAUAAAUAUUACAUGAAUGAAUGCAUCUUAAGAGAAAGGUAACCAACAGCCAGAGUCACACUGAUAUACUGGAUAUUCCAUUAGUCUCCACCAUCAGGCAAAAGUUGAUGUAAAAUUCUAAGGAAAAGAAGAGAAGAAAAAAACAAAAUUUUGCUCACCAGAAGCCCAAACAGUGCAAGACCUUCCUGGCGAAUUACAUAAGACCGCAGAAGAUUUGGAUCUUGAUUCAAGAAAAGAAUGAGGAUGUCUGUCCUGCAUCAGUUAGAAUCAUUUUGGAUGAGAAUUUCAUGGAAGCAAAAACUACAAUCAUUUUAAAAGACGAAAGAAAAAGGAAAAGAGUCUACUUGCUAAAAUAUAACGAUAUGGUCCAUUACCCCGUCAGGACUAGCUUCUUGUCUUGGCUCUCCAAAACAUCAGCUAUGAUAUCGAAUAUGCCUUCGUUAAUAAGAUCCCUGCAACCAUAAUAGUAUUUGCAGUUCUAUCAGCUCCAUUUGCUAUGAAAGCAACAUAAGAUAUAUUAGACUGAUAUUAAUACAAAAGAUGCAGCAUAUGAUGCAUACCUAAAUAGACGAUGUUGCUGGCCCACCUGCAAACUCUUACUCAAAGUACAAAACUCAUGCAAAAAGUGCACCUGCCCAAUCCAAGAAAAGGAAAUAACAAGUAAAGUAAUGAUGAGACUACAAAUACCCUUUCCCAGAUCUCCCGAUAAACAUCAGAAUAAGGAACAAAAAAGUAAAGGGUGAUAAUACUACCAACAUUUCAAGAAUAACUGACAAAGGAGUGCACUAUAAAGGAAUAUCAUUAGCGCAAGAACAUGCCAAAUGUUAGGAACAGGUUUUUGGAUUCAUAGUGAAACAAAAGACAAUAAUUGUUAGCACAUCACAGAACAAACUGGACUACAGGAAAGUAGCAUCAGUAGUAAAACUAAUGUUAAACAGACGCAAGGAUAUAUAAGUUUACCAAUUGCAGUCCCACCUAAGCUCAAGGUUUUCCUACAUUUCCAUUAAACAAAUUUUAUAUCUGACAAGAUGAGUAAUAAGAGGGGAGAGGAUCUUGACACAAUCAGAUCCCUAGAGGAAAGGGUGGAGCUCGAUUUUUUGUCAAAAAAAAAGGGUGGAGCUCAAGUACUUCUCACCAGUUGGCGUAAUAAUAAAAUUUUACUUUCAGUUGUCAAAAUAAAUUUUCACCAGUUGAUUCUAGACCCCAAAUCUAGCCUACACAGAAUUAUUAAUCCAUAGGUUGAAGGAGACGAUCCUGGAUUCUACUCAGAUUCCUCCCCAGCUUGUAUUAGAACUCAUAACCAUAAUGCUGGUCAGGACCAGGAUGCACAAAACACACGCACCGUUUACAUUUAAAAAUAUAUGGAUUUUUGCAUAAUAUUGGGGGGUUUGGGGGUUGGGAUAAUCAAUUACCCUCAAGUUUCUGCUUUGACCAAUUCAAAUUUAAUGAGAAAACAGCAAGCAAAGAAAAUAUAAGAGAAUGACCAACCAAAACAAAAAAUAGAUGAGUCCAAUGACUAAACGAACAAGCAAUUAUCAGAAGCUGACAACAUAAUGAACAAUUAAAUGUCUUCUGAGAAAAAAGAAAAAGAAACCAACUAAUAGCUGCAAUGCAACAGAGGCAACCCAAAAUAAAGAGGAAACAACAAUUUUCUUUACCAAAUUUUUCUUUGAUUCUGCAGAUGUAGAAGGCAACUUUAACUUUCCAAGCAAAUCCUGAAUGAAGGUGCUAUCAUCUUUUAAGAGAGAUACAACCUAUAUCAAAACCAAACAGUCAAGAACUAUAUUAACCAGAAGAAACAACAUUUUAACUUCAGGAAGAAGAUCUUACAACUGCAUUGUUUGAAUGGAUUAUGGAAUUAAGGUUUGCAACUAUUGCAUCAUCCAACACUCGAGGCAAAAUGGCAUCCUGAAAGUAAGCCUACAAACUGUAAGUUACAUUGAUAGUAUAAGGAUGUCAUCUAAAAAGUAAAACAUAAUCACCUUAAGAUAGCCAACUCGGUAUGUUUGAUGUAUCUUCGAUAGGACUAUCGAAUCUUUAAUAGAUAUAGCCUAACACACCCACAAGGAAAUAACAGAUAUCAAUAAAUGCAAACUGAACUAACAUUGAAGACAUUUCAGCAAACAUUCCUUAGAGGUACUAUUGCAGCAGGAAGAAAAGGUGUAGAAAAGAAACAGUGUACCUCCUUAAAGACCACAUGCUCUUUGAGAAAAUUGCGAUGAUGAACAUGAGGAGCAUCUGGAUCAUCUGUUGACCAAAAUAUGAAUCAGGUCGUCAGGACAUUCCAAAAUGAGAUCAAUGUCUUCAGAGUAAGAGGUUGGAGUAAGGGGUUGGCCAUUCAGUAUAUAAUAAUUAAACAAAAAGUUCUAUAGGAAUUAAAAGACAUUUUAACUAAAAGUUGAAAGCACUAGGAUCAAAAACGUACAUUCAAGACACCCAAUAAUAUCUAUUAUCAGCUCAUCACCAAAUAUUUUUUCAAAGAUCUGAGUGCUAUUGAGCAUCACUGCAAGAAACCAUUUCAUGCUGAUUAAUUCAAUCCCACAAAACAAGCCAAAGCAUACCCAAAUGAAGAUGGGAGACAAGUAGGAAAUACUAACUGAUUCCUCUCACUAUUUUGAAAAUAAUGUGAAGAUUCUCAAUAUUCUCCAGAUCUUCGGAAAUCCUAAAUAAAUCCAUCAGCUUACGGAAAAAAACUUGCUGCAGAACAAAAGAACCCGGUUCAGUACGAUUCACCUAUUGAUCCGGAAAACAAGAAGACAAAUGAUUAAACAAGUAAUUCUUAACAUGAACAGAAAUCAAUAAAAAAGCGAAACACUUGUCUUGUUUCGCCCUUUUUGGGAUAGGAGUAGGGAGGGCUCCUCUCCCGUUUUUCUCGUCUUAUACAUAGCGUCAGAAACUCCUCGAGAGUUCACCACUAACUUGAAUAGAAUACUGCACUUUGCAUAAAGAAUUUUCACAAACAGUACAAAAGAGUCGGUCAUUUCCAACUAUUCCAAGACUUGUAAAAGGAUGAAGGAGGCAUGCAAGGAGACAGCAGUGACUGAAGAUCUUUCAGAGUUUUGCCAGCGACAGAAAAAUCUUUACACAUCCAGAGUGAGUAGUGGACCUAUGUUGAGCUACCAGCUGGCCCAGAUUGUUUUCAGUUUGAUAGGAAAAGAGCCAAAGUGGUGAAAAACAGGAGGGGUGAAGAGGGGUGGGGGAAGGGCACUGGCAGUACAGAGUACUAACCUGUACAUAUAGCCACCACUUUAAAGGCAGAGCAAAGUUUAUUAUACCAAUCAAAAUUUUACAUCUAACUUACACAAAACAAAGUUAUAAUCAGCUGAUGGUUCAGUUCCAAUUUUUCCAACUUAUCUAUAACAGAUAAUCAAGUUCUCAUCCAGUUUUUGUUAAUGUACUUGAUAAUUGCUUCAAAAAGGUGAAGACUGGACAUCUAUGUUUUCAAGUGGGUAAUGAAUACGACAGCAAUUAAUUCUGAAGCUGACAUGCUCGAAGCAAUUUCACAACCAUCACUAAUCUUCAAUUUCUUUGUUAGGAGGAAGAUAUUACUAAUGCUAAUUUGAGGUCAUGAAAUCCCUCAUUCCAAUGACAAUUAAUUGUCCAAAAAGAAGUCAAGCUUAGAGAACUGCAAGAUUCAUGAAGCUCACAUCGUUCAAUAUUAGUUCGGUAACACGCAACUGAUCAGCAAUGCCACCCUCUACAACCGUCUGCAAGUCAAACAAUAAACAACAUUUUCAGAAAACAGUAAACAGUAUGAAAAGAUUUGCACGACUCGAAGUGUAUUGCCUUCACACACAAAAGCAAACAGAGCUUUUCCUAUAUUAUAUACGCUAUACCUUAUAAUUUUUACAUGCUUUUUUUUUUGCACCCAAGGGUGUGGCCUAGUGGUCAAUGAAGUGGUUGAGAACCCUAAGGCCUCAGAUUCAAAACUCAGCAGAGAAAAAAAAAAAAAACUAGGUGAUUCUUACCAUCUGUCCUAGCCUUGUCCAGCCUUGGUGGACAGAGUUACCUUGGUACAUGUUGCUAGUGGGAUGUAUCCUGUGGUAUUAGUCAAGGUGUGCAAAAGCUGGCCCGGACACCACGGUCAUCAAAAAAGAAUUAAAUGUUUUUUUGGUUAGUAUUGAGAAAGCAAUCCCCACCCCCGCCUGUUGAUUACUAAGGCACACCCUCAAGUGCAACUUAGAGAUUUGGUAAUUAUCAAGGCAAUAUAAGAAAAAGACAUUUCAACUAUUUUAAGAUAAUAAAUGUUGAAAGGAUGACAAAGAUAAACCUUUAAUAUCAAGGGAAGCGUAGAAAGCUCAACGGGGGGUAACUCCUUCAAAUCACUGUUGACACUAUGAAAUGUCUCAUCUGAAAAUAGUAAAAGAAAAGAAGAAAAGAAACAAAUAAGUCAUGCACAUAAAACCUUUUUCCAACAGGUAUGAAAAAAUUAGUCAACAAAAAUAUCAAUAGUUAUUUGUAAGCACAAGAGAGCCCAAUGAUAGGUGUCCCAGAAGUAGGAGAGAAACUGUGUGGACCUAUUUUUGUAAAAGGCAGCAAUUUAUUCUUUCCUUGUCAUCAUCCUUCUAAAUUUUACUCUUCUUUUCCAAAAACACUCAAGACUACACCAUGUGUUAUCAUGUGACUCGUGUCUCUCCACUGGAGGAUCUCUGCUAAAGGUGGACAGCAGAACAUACCCUCAAAACCCCCAUUUGUCAGUUAAUUGAAAAUGUCGAAAAUGAAAUGUGAACUUGAGAAACAGACUUGGUAAUAUCUCUGGAAGCUAAUUUCUAUAUUUUGUAAUUAAGCAGGAGUACAAUAUCAAUACAUAUAAAGUUAAAAGUGAUCCUUGACAAUUAACACUUCGCCAAGAAAAUAAGAACAAAGGAAGAACUCUACCAGUCAAACGACAAAAUACACAUAACAAAUCAUUACAGAUUUAUAUAUCUUAGCUUCACGCCUAAGCAAUAGAGUAUAUCUGUAUAGAAGAACACCAGUAUACAAGAAGUAUACCAAAAAGUAGAAAAGCUUACAAAAAGAUAUGUCUUUCUAUGAAUGGCACCUAUUCUUUUUAUUUUUAAGUUUAUAUACCGAGAAAUCCAUCUAGAGCACAACCCUUAAGACAAACACAACCUUCAAAACUAGAGAGAUGAUGGGCACACCCUCCACCCUUCUCCAUUUAAAUACUAGGCUUAGGCUUGGCAUAAGGCUUGACCCCAUGACCUAAGCCACAAUCUUCCUCAACCUUUACCAAGUGAGCUAAGCUGUGCAGGGGAACUUACAUUUAAUCUUCUAUACCUACAGCAACCUCGUGGGUGCACCAAAAGGAAAUAAAGAAUAAGAAGAUAUUUCUCAAGUGUAAAAAAUCCAUCUCUAUUCCAUCAAAAGCUCUUAUAAUUUUCUCUCCUCAUAUAGUACAUAUAAGUAUUAGUGAAGUAACAUCGCAUGCCUUGCAUCUUCUCGUUUGUCUAGGACAAGUCUAGCUAAAUAAUACUUUUUUGAAGGAGAAUUUCUAUAGCAUGCUAUUUCUCAAUGCAUCCAGAGGAUUGCGGUGAAGCAACCCAAUAUCGUCAAUAACACAUCUCGUUUGACUCUGCCUAAAAUCAUCAAUAAUGUGCCUUAGAUAAACUAAUUUUGGUUCCCAGCAUCAAAAUUUAUACAUAUCAUGACAAUAGCAAUUAAGUGUUUAAUAAUAGCAACUGAAUUAUUCGUCGGGAAACAUUUUCAUGCUAAAUCAUGAUAAUUGCAAUUGAGUUUUACAUUUCCUGUUUGGCUAUUGAACCACAUAAUGCUAACCCAAGUAGAUUAAUCUCAUUUCAUUUUGAUUAAUUGGAGAACAAUAGACCGAAACUUUUCAAUGUACACACUGCAUAUAUCCUCAUGGGGCCAGAAAUAUGACUAUUCCCACGUGAGUACUAUAUUCACAGACAAACUUUUGAAACUCAGCAUCAUGGGAACUCAAUAAUGUUCCAUUUGUCAAGUGUACAAAAAGAUUACUCUAUAGACUCACUGUUAAGACUACUGAAGUGCAUGUUCCUUUGCACGCUACAUAUAUGGUCCCUACAAAAAACAAAAACAAAAAAAAGACAAGAUGUUAUCUGCUGGUGUUUCUAACAGCUUCUAUAAAAUCUAAGCAACCUUAAUACAAAUAGAUUAAGGAUGGUAGUAUAACCAAGAAAAGAGGAGAAAAAUACAAAAUCAAUUUCCAAAAACUUGCCAUAUAUAGGAGCAACCAGUCGUCUCUUGAAAGCUAAGAGCUAGUUCAGUUGAAUAUUCCGGAUCCCUCCAAGAUAUAAUUGUAUCUGAAUAGAAGAACAUGUUUUCUCAUGAAACUGUACACUAACAUAACAGAAGUAAUAAACAGGAAGAAAGGAGACAAAACUAUGGAGCUGGAGGACACCUUCUUGCUUCCGAUAGAUAUCAUCUGCACUGAUACGGUGCAGAAGCAAAGUCUCAUGAUCUUCUUCAUCAGCUACAAGCAAUCCUAGAUCUUCUGACCUCUGCAUUGACAUCCACAAUCAGAUGCAAUAAAAAUUAACCCCUCCCAAUCAGUGCAAAUGACACGUUAUUUGCCGACACAAACAAAAUGGCAUAAGCUGAACAUCAAUAUUCCACGAACACUUACCUCUAUAUAAUCUACAGUAACAUGACCUGUUCCUUGAUCAUCCCAUUUCCCAUCGUCAUUCAGGCGAUAGACCUUUACACGCUGCAGUGCAGAUGAGACAAAGGUUAAUAUUACAGAAUUGAUGUAAUACAAGAACAGAAUAACGACCAACAGCAAAGCUAAACAUAUUAGCAGGUAAAGCUGCUUAAAGUUCCUCAGCCUGUAAAGAAAUCAUAGUUGAGACACGGCAGGAAGUUUCUUCUUUCUUAGAGGUUUGUGUGUGUGUGUGUGUGUGUGUGGGGGNNNNNNNNNNNNNNNNNNNNNNNNNNNNNNNNNNNNNNNNNNNNNNNNNNNNNNNNNNNNNNNNNNNNNNNNNNNNNNNNNNNNNNNNNNNNNNNNNNNNNNNNNNNNNNNNNNNNNNNNNNNNNNNNNNNNNNNNNNNNNNNNNNNNNNNNNNNNNNNNNNNNNNNNNNNNNNNNNNNNNNNNNNNNNNNNNNNNNNNNNNNNNNNNNNNNNNNNNNNNNNNNNNNNNNNNNNNNNNNNNNNNNNNNNNNNNNNNNNNNNNNNNNNNNNNNNNNNNNNNNNNNNNNNNNNNNNNNNNNNNNNNNNNNNNNNNNNNNNNNNNNNNNNNNNNNNNNNNNNNNNNNNNNNNNNNNNNNNNNNNNNNNNNNNNNNNNNNNNNNNNNNNNNNNNNNNNNNNNNNNNNNNNNNNNNNNNNNNNNNNNNNNNNNNNNNNNNNNNNNNNNNNNNNNNNNNNNNNNNNNNNNNNNNNNNNNNNNNNNNNNNNNNNNNNNNNNNNNNNNNNNNNNNNNNNNNNNNNNNNNNNNNNNNNNNNNNNNNNNNNNNNNNNNNNNNNNNNNNNNNNNNNNNNNNNNNNNNNNNNNNNNNNNNNNNNNNNNNNNNNNNNNNNNNNNNNNNNNNNNNNNNNNNNNNNNNNNNNNNNNNNNNNNNNNNNNNNNNNNNNNNNNNNNNNNNNNNNNNNNNNNNNNNNNNNNNNNNNNNNNNNNNNNNNNNNNNNNNNNNNNNNNNNNNNNNNNNNNNNNNNNNNNNNNNNNNNNNNNNNNNNNNNNNNNNNNNNNNNNNNNNNNNNNNNNNNNNNNNNNNNNNNNNNNNNNNNNNNNNNNNNNNNNNNNNNNNNNNNNNNNNNNNNNNNNNNNNNNNNNNNNNNNNNNNNNNNNNNNNNNNNNNNNNNNNNNNNNNNNNNNNNNNNNNNNNNNNNNNNNNNNNNNNNNNNNNNNNNNNNNNNNNNNGGGGUGUUCUAAACAAAAUAUACAAAGAUAGAGCUACAAGAAUGUAGAAGAAUAUCUACAUUGGUCUCCAGAAAGGCACACAGAACAAAAGAUGCUACAAACUACACAAAUAUUCCAAUCCUUCCUGCACACCUGAAUUGGAGACAAUAUUUCAGCUGGGAACGACAAACCAAACUUAGUUCCCUCAUGUAACGAAUUUGCACCUUAUAAAAAAUAACGGGUAGCCUAAUCGUGCCUUAAUUAACUGUAGUACAUCUUUUAUUUUAAUAAAAGAGACAUCACAUAUCCUUUUUUUUCUGCAGAAAACUGGAUAGAGUUUAAUACCCAAAAAAAAAAAAUCCUUUUGAGAGAAGGUAAUUGUAGUUUAAUGCCCAAUCUCACAUCCAACAGAAUACAAUUACUCCCUCCACGACAAGUAUCAGAUGGUCAAGUUACUGGUAUAAGAAUAGGAAAUGCAAUAACCAUCUAUAUUUUCAAAUGACCUAACCAGGUAAUAUCCUACAUCAGCAUAAGGUCACCUCUACUGUUAUGUCGACUGAUACACACAAAGAAAUUUUACCAUUCUAACAAACUCUACACUAAAUGUGGCUCUUGAUAUCAAUCUGUUGAUCAACAAACAUGUCACAAUUCCAAUACAACUAGAGUAAGCUAUGAAGAUCCACAAUAUCCAUUGGCUCAUUCCAAUGCUAAAUAAAAUGCCUCAGACAAAUUAGGCUCCCUAAAUGAAUCUUAACUAUUUGGUACCACCUUUAAAUAUUCUUUAAAACAUGAUAUUCUAUUCUUAGCUACUGUUGCAAGUCAAGAGCAGAAGCAGACGGAGAAUCAUAACAACCAGCAUAUGGUGGACUAUUUGGAGGGAAAGAAAUCCUAGGUUUUAGAGAAAAUAGAGAAUAGUAUACACACACACACACAUAUAUAUACAUAUAUACACACACACACAAAGUUACAAUUUUCCAAAAAACAAAAUAGCAAGUUUGCCAAAGCUUCUGGGAAACCCAAAGUGCUUAUUUUAUUUAGAAAUGUUUUUGAGUAGUAGCAGAAGUUGUUUUUCAGAAGCUGAAAAAGUUUUUUUUCUCUGAAGCACUUUUGAACAAAUUGUAGAUCUAAUAAUGGCCAAAGGAUUUGAAAAGACUUCCCAAAUGAAAUUUCCAGACACAAACUGCUAUUUUUUUUAUGAAGUAGAGGCAUAUAAAUAACAAAAGCAUCGAGGAAAUGCGUAGGUUACAAAAUAAAGGAAGAACAAUCUGUCAAAAGACAAGGGAGCUGAUAAAUUCCGUAAAAGAGUAUGGGCUAUUCUCACUUGAUCGGAAAAAAAAAGUCAAGGCUAUUCUCCAAAAGCUUUUUUACUGCAAAAGCACUUUUGAUAAAAAAGCACUUCUCAAAAUAAGCAGAUUAUGGAAGCUUUACAAACAGGAUUAAGUCUUCAUUAAUUCUGAGAGGUUUUCGGCAUUUUGAGGGAACUUCCAAUGUGUGAUUAUAGGUUUCUCCCCCUCCUUUUAUUACUUUUUUCUUAAUAAGUAAUGAAAAGUUCUCCUUUAUUACCUUCAAUCCUCUUAUUGUUAAACACCUACCAAUCAGUGGAUUUGGAGGUUUAUGCAAGAUAAGACCUAAUAAUCUCUAGCAAUCUUCUCCGAUUUCGUCCUCUAUAUUUGCUCUUUCCAUCUUCUACCAGAUCUAAACAAUUUUCAUAUUAUUUUUUGAUAAAUAAAUAGAGCACAAAAAUUCAUGUCGCCGAAAAUGGAUCAUUUCUAAUAUGUCCAAUCUUGUAUUAUCGUAAACCAUCUCUUCAUUAUACAGAAGAAAAUAUUAUUAAUGUACAAGGACAAGCACUAAACUAAUGUUGGACAUAACAAAAUGGGAGGCCCAUAUAUACAAAAUACAAAUACAAAUCAUAUGACAUUCAUCGUGUGGACACAUUAAGCCUCGGACACCCACAUUUACACCCAUAUGUCAUUGUUGUUUCCAUAUAAUCGUGUUGGUCUCACAACAGCUUUAUAAAUUUGCAUAAAAUGUUGUUAGGUAUCAUCUUCUUUUUUGAGAAUGAUAUGCUGCUAGGUAUCUUUUGGUCGUAUAGUAGUCUUGUAAUACUCCAUUUUUCAACCAUAUUUUUUUUAAUGACCGUGGUGUCCGCCCAGCUUUCGUGCACCUCGACCCAUUUCAACCAUAUUAUUCUAAUUCAAUGUGUUACAUCUUCAUCUAUGAUCCAUCACAUCAUUCUUCCGGAAGACUAAAGCCCACACAUUUAGGUUGUCAGCAUUUAGGCACAAACAAUCCUAAAUUAUCUAAUUCACGAUCAUUCUUCUUAUCCUAAAACCCUUGCACAAUAAAGUGCUUCUCACAACCAAACUUCCAGCCUACUCCUUCACAUGUUAAACUUCAAACAAUCUAUCAAAGCUAUACAUCUCCACAAAAAUCAACAUCAGCUAGCCAGACUUGUUCAAUUUAUGCCCUCGUUUAUCCCAGACAUUGUUUAACCUCACAAAAGGUGGAGGAUGUUGAAUAUUGUGUGUCAAUACAAAGACAAAAUUGAUUCUUUCUUUGAGCAGUGUAUUAAGACAAAAAUAGCUUUGUGAUCUAUCACAUUAAGUUCGCUUUCUUGUUCCCUCAAUAACAUAACAAGAUCCCUAAUGAGACUGUACACAAUUUUCAAUUCUUUUUUUCCACAAAAAAUCCAGAUGGUAUGGGAAAAUUUUCUCCUGAUGCCUAACGAAAAAGUUGACUUUUAGAUUCUAACAUACAAAUCAAUAAUGCAGGUCCACUUUCAGUAAGACUGAUCAGUACCGAAACAACAUAACUUAGUCUAAUAUCAACUGCGGAGGGAUGAAUAUUAUAGAUAACAAAACCCAUAAGAAUUCAACAGGAUACAAAGCAAACAUAGAAGACAUAAUAUUCCACCUUGCCACAAGUACCUUCUGAAAUGAAACUGAACCAAAACAUAAAUGCUAGAGUAGCACUGCGGAAAAAACCCAGCAAAUAUGAUUUUUUGAGCUCAGCUACCUUCAUACAAGCCCCAAGGCUUUGACAUGUGUCCAAAAGUGAAAUACUUUUUUGGUAACGGAUAUAUUCUGAGACAGGUUAUGUAUUUCUAGCUCAAACGGAAAGACAACAACAAAGCAAAUUCCCCUCGGACCCACUUCAUAAAUACUCAUACCUAGAAAUCCCCUAAACCAAUGACUCAGUUUGAAAUUCACUGUAUAAUUGGCUUUCUCCACGAUAAAAGAAAAAAAUUGACUCCAACUCAAAAUAUAGCCGGUACCAGGUCCCAAGUCCCAAUAAAGAAGUUUCACAAUACCUUAGCAGCCAAAAUGCACAAUACACAGUCAAAUUCUAGUUAAAUAUCCAAUUCCAGCUAGUUCAAAAUUGAGACGUAAUCAAUUCCAUGAUAAUUGAUUUCAAAGGGAAAAAAAAAGCUAAAUCAGUGUGACUUUAGUCUUUGGGGUUACAAAGCAAAGAAGCGAUUUUCGACUGAUGAAAUUCUGUAUUUCUAGCUCAAAUGCGAAGACAACAACAAAAGCAAAUCCCCCUCGACCAGUGGCUCAUAUUCAAAAUUCAAUGUAUAAUUGGCCCGCCCCCCUACUCCUCUCCACUUCAUAAGCACGUUUAUCAUACUUCUUACCUCAAUUUUCAAACCAAUAAAAAAAAAGUAACCUCACACUCAACCUACAGAUGCAAAACAUAUCCUGUCCCAAUAAAGGAGUUCCACCUUACCUUAACAGCUAACAUAAAAUAGUUAAACUAAAAUCACAUAUACUCAAAAUCUAGCUAGUUCGGAAUUGAGACGUAAUCAAUUCUGUAUUAAUUAAUUUCAAAGAAACAAACAAAAAAGGAGCUAAAUCAGUGUGAAUUCAGUCCUUAGGGUUAUAUAAAGCAAAAGGAACGAUUUUUCCAAUUGAACAAUCAACAAAACUAACCUGCAUCGGAUUACUAGAGUUUGAUGACUUCUCUUGAGCACCCAUAGAAACUUCUAGAACCCAAAUUUCACUGUGCCUGCUGUUUUCGGGAGAAUGAUUGAAAUUAGGGUUUUUGAGUUGCAAAAAAAGGGGAAAGAGAGGAAGAGAUAGAAAUGAAGUAUUUGAGGUUAUUUUGGGUAUAAAUUCGGGAUCAAUUCAAAACCCUAACCGCCAUUGAUGAGUAGUGAAUCUUCUCUCUUUCUCUCUCUUCUUUCUCUCUCUCUUCGUUUCUUUUUCUUCUGAAGUGUUCGUGCCUGACCUGACCUUUGGGAAUACAGAAGCAGUACAUUUGUUGAUUGUACAAAAUGACUUUAAUGCCCUUAGAUUGUGAGAAAAAUAUUGGAAUUGCCACUGAUGAAAAAUAAUUUAUAAAAUAUUUAUAUUGAAAAAACUAAAAUAUAUUUAUAAUAAAAAAGUGUCCGGAUUCGUAUAGAGUAAUAUGUGCACCACUUUUUUAGAAGCUUUCGGCUUAGAAGUUUGUUCGGCCUUCUUUUUGACUCAUCCUUUGUUAUUGGCUUCAGAUACACCGCCUUAGGAUUUGGUGUGCUCGUUAAGGUUUUUUCACCAUUGUAGUGAAAGAAAAACGACUAUAAUAUUAUAUUUAUUACGAUUCAAUCUCAUAGCAUGUAUUGUUUAUUUUGGUCGGAUGAAUCUCGCAAAUUUGUCUAUUAGACAACAUUAUAGCCCAAAAGUGUGUGUACCUAUGAACUUGUCGUACGCAUUAUCAAGUUAUGCACUUUCAUCUCUCCUUCUGACGUGAGAUUCACCUAAAGUGUCAUGUACAUUGGUUUACCCUCCAAAUUCACGACAUUGCCUACCUAUUUGAUCAAAGUGUCUUACAAUUUAAUAACAAUAACAUAUUUAUAGUCUCGCAAAUAAGGUUUGAGGAGAAAGGUGUAUUUAUCGUCUUUAAUGAUUAAAUUCACACUUUAAACUAAAUAUGAUGACCAUCAUAUUGCCAUUUUGGUCUUUUCCACAUGGACCAAAAAGAUCUGUCUAUAAAAACAAAAUAUCUUGUAUUGCUAAGUUGAUUCUUUAGACAUAAAAAUAUAUUGGACCAUCCUUAACAACUUAAAAUGUGAAUGAUAUACACAUGUGAAACAAAUAAGGAAAACUAACCUUAACUAACUUUUGGAACACCAUUAAUUCAUCAUUAUCAAAACUCAAAAAAGAAGAAAAAAAUAUUUUAUUAGGUAUGCAAUAAUAAUCUAUAGUACUAAGAAAAGGGCCCACUAUUCAAGUGUUAAAAGAAGAAUGGAGCCUCACACAACUAUUGUUGGUUGAGCCACUAUCAUUAUAAAAAAAAUUCUCAUAUUUCGCUAAACUUUUAACUCACUCAAUGACAAUAAAUCACACAAAAAUUUAAAAAUACAAGAAGAAGAAGAGUAGAAGAUUAAAAACAAUUGUUGUUGAAAAAUGAGAGAAAGUCCCUCUAUUUAUAGUCAACAAAGGGUAGUAUAAACAAAUUUUUUUGUGUCUUAUCUAAAAAGUCAUGACCUUUUAUGAGAAAUUACAACCCUUUCGAAAAGUCAGAACUUAUUGAAAAAGUCACAAUCUUUGGAAAAAUCACAAUUCAUCGAAAAAUCACAACCCUUUGAGAAAAAUCACAACUCAUAUGAACAAAUGUUUUUGUAUCUUAUCUGAAAAGUCAUGACCUUUCCGAGAAAUCUCAACCCUUUGAAAAAGUUACAACUUAUUGAAAAAGUCACAACUCUUUAGAAAAGUCACAACUCAUCGAAAAAACUCAACAAUUUGAGAAAAGUCAUAACUCAACAAAAAAGUCACAACCUAAGUUAGGGAUAUUAUAGUAAUUUAACAUUCAAGUUAGGAGNNNNNNNNNNNNNNNNNNNNNNNNNNNNNNNNNNNNNNNNNNNNNNNNNNNNNNNNNNNNNNNNNNNNNNNNNNNGUUAUAGUAAAUAGUAUUUGCUUAUUUAAGCGAAGAUUUGAAUAAUAAGCUUAGCAAAACAUAAUACUCCAUCCGUUUCAAAAAGAGUGACCUAGUUUGACUUAACACGAAUUUUAAGAAAAUAAUGAAGACUUUUUAAAAAAAUUAUCAGUUAAAUGCAAUUAUGUAUACAUUUAUUUUAAUUUGAUGAGAUUCAAUCAUGUAAUUAGUCUUAUCUCACUAAUAUUACCUUAUAGAUAAUAUUUGUUUUUGCAUUUUUCUUGUCAUCUAACCAGAUGUGUUUUGCAUGUGUAUUCUACCUUAAAUUGUUUAGAUAUCAUAUGAACAUGUGAAGAGAACAACUAUAUUUUAUAUAUUCACAUAUUUUCACAUUUGUUGUGAGUUUUUUUUUUUUUUUUUAAAGAACUCGAAACAUUUUGAAAUAACAUAUUUUGAAGUAAGAAGAUCUCGUUAACUUGAUAACACAUUUGUGACAUAUAUAAUACUUUAAUUUAAAUACAAAUACAUACCCAAAUUUAAAUAUAUAUUUGCAUAAAUGAAAAUAUCUAUCUCAUAAAUUAGGUAUUAAAUAAAAAAUAAAAAAUAAACUAAUAUAAACUUCAACAUGCGUUAUUACAAGUCAUAUGAACUUUUCUUCGUCUAAAAUACUAAAAUAUUAAGAAAUAGUAAAUAAGUAAAACAAAAGAGCAAUGUUUAUUUAGUACUAUCUAUUUUGAACCAAACUUCCUGAAAGUCUAAAUCACAUGAAUAACAUUGAUAAAUAUAUUCAUUCUUUUGUCUUGAGCAUCAAAAACAAAUCGCAACAAUUCUCUAAAUUUGAGAAAAAGAUAUUUAGAAGCAUAUAUCUACAUCAUAAGAGAAAUUGUUAACAAAAACAAAUAAAUUUAGACUACAUAAUGGUAACUUCAUAUAUAUGAACAUUACAUACUAAUGUAUAUAUUAAGAAAAACAACAAUUAUUAUAUCAUCAAAAUUAUAUUAUUUUCCUCAAGUACUCGAGGUUAUGGACACUUUGAAAAAGUCACAACCCUUUGAAAAAAGUCACAACGUUAAUUAGGAAUAUUAUAGUAAUUUAACAUUCAAGUUAGGAGUUCAUGCUUUUAAGGUAAUAUAGAUAUAGAUUAGAAACCUGGUUGAAUUACCUGGUAUGCUAGUCAGUUAAGGACACUGUUUUUCUAGGAUAAACAAGAAAGCACUGAAAGAAGUGUUAAGUUCCAUAAGAUGGUUAACAGAAUGGAAAUUUUAGCCCAUAUUUGUAUAGCUCAAUCUAACUUUCAACAAGUGCUAUUUCUUUUGCACUACUGAGAUUAUACUCACCAAUCUGAUUGCAGAUUAGGACUCUAUCAAAGAGCCAUACCCAACACUAACAUAAAUAAGAUCUAUAUGUAUCAUUUCUCCAGUGCAGAGAAAACCUUAGGACGAUAGUUUUCAGCAUGCAUAGUUGGAGCUCAACAAUGGAUCACAUAGCUUAAACUUAAGGAAGACAAUUCACAUAUGCAGGAAAACAAUUAUCUCGAAUAAGCAAAUCCAUAAACCAGAUGACGUUCCACAAAAGACUAUACAUCAACAAAUCAGAUAACACUAGUUGGAGUCUGCUAUGUGAAUCCUCCAAAUUGAUUCAGCCUUCUUCCAUCUUCCCUUUUCAGUCCAACUAAAUAAUUGUAUUUUAAGACCAACUAGAGAUUUUCUAAAUUAUAAUAACAAAUGAUAAGGCUGAAAAACACGCUGAUUGCACAAGUGACGAAUUGCUAAAUAAGCAUAACAUGAAUUGCAAGGGUAGUGGCGUUAAUGUAAACUGUUUCCAUUGAAAGAGUAAUAGAUUAAUAGUCAAAACAAGGUUGCAUACUAACUCAAGUAUCCACUACAAAUACCAAAACAUCAAACAAAGCUUCAACAAACUCAAAGAUUGCCUGUCAUAAUGAAUAGCUCAUUACUAUAACAAUUCAUUUACUUUUCAGCAGAUUCAACAGUCUUCGGGUUGUGCUUCCUAGCAUACCUCUGGUUCCUCAAAAACUUGGGAUCCA
rnacentral:lncRNA from 1 species